rnacentral:lncRNA from 1 species
UGAGGAGCCGCGGCGCUUGCUGGCCGGCCGUGGCGCACAAGCCCUGGCUCGCGGUCAAGAAAGUGGAGGAGAGGAGAAAGCUGUAGUUGAUCUGGGUUCCAUGCCUUCUAUGAUUAGUAGUAAUAUCUGUAGUAGCAGUAGCUGGUUGUUCAAUGGUUGCUUCAGUGUUCUGAAUUUCUGAUGGGCAAACACUGUGUUUGCCGAGAUAUAUGAAUCCAGAGUUAACAAAAUUGUCCUAAAACCAUGGAUUAUUGCUAAUGACGAUGCUGUUCUGUUUUACAACUCUUUGUGCUCCUGCAUUUAGCCUGAUGCAAAUCCUGUGAUACGAUUGUUUUCCGGCGGUUCUGCAUUCUCUGUUCUUCAACUGCGUUCGCUGUCUAUCCGAUGGCGGUCUCCUGCAGAUCCAGCGACUCAUUGCUUGAAUAUUUUCUGCAAAUCUUGCCGUGUCUAAAUGUUACAAUCUACACAGUAGUUUUGAACGCUCCAUUAGCCGAUUGGUCCUCUUUGCUCGUAACCUGUUUAUAUUCUGUCUGCGUCUCCGUGCAGAUCUUAAUUUGUCAGUGUCAUAUAUAGUCAUAAAUUUGCACACGGUGUUCGUUUUGAUGUGCUUUUCUAUAUUAUUUUUGAACUGGGAAAUGCACCAGAGGCGCCAUCCUUAUUCAACUCAACAGUUGACAGGGCAUGUCUCGUGAGAAUGAGUUGAACUGAAACAACUAAAAACAGGUUCUGUUGAUCUAGUAGAGUAUUUAAUCAAAAACUACCACAAUUCAGGAAACCGUGCCUACAAAGUACCAUUUUAUGAUUUUGUCCCGAAAACUACCAUUUUUUUACUAAUCUGUGACUAAAAACUACCAUAUGUGUAAAUCAACCGAUUCAUCCAUUUUAAACGCGUUUAUGAUAGACCUGGCCCGCAUGUAUUUUUUUUAAUGUAAGGCACCUUAUCGGGGGGUUCUGAGCUGCUUGGCAGCGUAAUAGUACAAAGCCUUGUAAUGCUCCGGCCACGGUGCCGUUUGUACUGUGGGCGUGCUGGUCUUGCGACGUCCGCCACGACCACCACGGCCACAACGCCCAACACCACCACCAGGCCCAUCGGUGGCCAACCGCUUAUUGAGCUUCUCCUCCUUUAUGGCCUUCACUUUGACGCGUCGAGUUUGCCGCGUAGCCGAGCUGAUCUUCCGGGCGAGCGUGAUGCUCGGAUCCUCCGACACCUCCGCAGCUUCCAUCUCCGACGGUUCCAUGUGUCGGCGACGGAACGAAGGAGAGGGUGGGAGAAAGGAGCGGGAAUUAGGCAGGGAGCAGCGAGGGAUGGAAGAAGAGAGUGGGAGAUUUUGGCGUGAAAACAAUGCGGGUUGCUACAAAGGGCUNNNNNNNNNNNNNNNNNNNNNNNNNNNNNNNNNNNNNNNNNNNNNNNNNNNNNNNNNNNNNNNNNNNNNNNNNNNNNNNNNNNNNNNNNNNNNNNNNNNNNNNNNNNNNNNNNNNNNNNNNNNNNNNNNNNNNNNNNNNNNNNNNNNNNNNNNNNNNNNNNNNNNNNNNNNNNNNNNNNNNNNNNNNNNNNNNNNNNNNNNNNNNNNNNNNNNNNNNNNNNNNNNNNNNNNNNNNNNNNNNNNNNNNNNNNNNNNNNNNNNNNNNNNNNNNNNNNNNNNNNNNNACUCCUGCACCCCCUCCCCCACGUUUGAUUUCAGUUUGCGGAAUAAAACACGUCCGAACUGCUCGGCGGACCGAUACAGGCCCGCGUUGGAUGACUUCCAUUGAAGAUCCCCUUAGGUUUUUUUUACCGAAGCAGAAGUAAAAAAAAAAAGACCAUCAGGGGGUUCUAAAUUUUUUUUUUUUAAAUCGCUCCAUGUUUCCAACGCUCGCCGAUUUUUAUCCCACCACGGAAAACAUUGGUCCGUGAGUCGCAUCACGAGCCACCGACGCAGGAGUAGGCUGCACACUUCAACCAGCAUGGGAGCAUAUGUCGUAUCGCCAUGCCUCCAAGCUUGACUGGUUCCGCCGGGCGCACCAAGCCGAGCGCUUCCUCGAGUCCCGUCGGAGCGGCGCGCUACUGACGAUGCGUCAACAGUCAAGAUUGACUGCUAUACCAUUCGCGAACAAGUCCUUUGCUCCCAACUCCCAAGGAAAGACCUUUGUCCCGUUGGUGCGGGUCAGAUGCCCCGUACUUCAACUAACCUGCCGGCCGCUUUCCCCUACACUCAACAGAACCAGUUCAUCGUAGGCCCGGCGCUUCCCCCCUCAUUCUGUUGUGCCCAGGAUCCUUCGCGCCUGCUGCGAUCUGGAUUCGGAUGAUCAAUCGAGCAGCUUUUCGUCCGGUUCUUCCUGGAUGAUCCUCUAUCUGGUUGGGGAUUUUUCUUCGAUCGGCUUGUCCUCUUAAGAGGUAUGUUCAGUUCUGCUCCAGUUCGCGCGCAUCUCUGUUCUUAGGCUUAUGAAUUGGAUGGACACCAUCUUGGUACGGACGUUCGAUUUGGUGCGGAUCCUUUUUCUGCCUAUGUAUGCUUUUGAGGCUCAGAAGAGGAAAUACCUGUUACGACAAAGAAAUCUCAUACAUGUUGUAUGUUGGCGGUUUCUUCACAACUGAAUAUGUUUUUCUCUUCUGAUUAAUAAGAUUUCUGAGACGCGAAAUUUUCCACCUUUAGGACAUAUGCUUGGUUUAUUAAGAAUCUGCAGUGGUCAGUGUUCUACUUCUGAAUUCCAAUGAAGAACAAUAUUUGCGACGUAAUUGUAGAUUUGGAGAAUUUGCUAAUACAUUGGAUUGCUCACUGGAUUUCUGUCAAUAGCUUCAUCCUCAUAUGCAUAUUUCUGGUUCCGCUAGUACUUGAUACCAUAAAUCCACGGUUCUGACCCUCUCUUUUCUGUACCUUUCAUAGCAGAAAGAACGCUGCAAUUUCUUUGACACACAUCUCCAAGUUCAUCAUUCUCUGUCUCUGCUCAACCAAUAAUACAGACUUCAGUCACACAUAAAGAAAUGGGUCACACCAUUGGAGUUGCAGAUGAUGAAAUAGCAGACAUACCAUGUUCAGAUGCUUCACCAAUUCUGACCGAAUAUCACAUCACAGUCCCUACCCUUCACGAUGGACUAAUGCAAGGGGCAGACCAGCACGAGAGACGGCUUCUGGAUGUCCUCAAAGCAACGCCUUCAGUGCAAUGGCUGAAGGACAUCAACGUCUGCGGUCCACUGGGAAAAAUUCAGCUGCCAUCGAUCGGCGUCCACCGCUACCUCCAUGUCCACUUCAUCAGAACAGUCGACUGGAGCUCACUGCUCGCCAUCUGCAAGAACCACCUCAAGCAUCCUCUCAACAUCGCCCUACUCAUCUGGCUGCUCUGCGUCGCCGCCGCCGGCGCCAUGCUAGGACUGCUCCUGUUGGGGCUGCUGAACAAGGCAUUCCCUUCCAGGGCCUUGAGGCACCACUGGAUAGAGAUCGACAACCAGAUCCUCAACGCCCUCUUCACGCUCAUGAGCAUCUACCAGCAUCCCAUCCUCGUCCACCACCUCGUUCUCCUCUGCCGGUGGCGGCCGGAGGACGCCGCCCAGCUAAGGAAGGUGUACUGCAAGAAUGGCGCCCGCCGUCCCAACGAGCGAGCGCACAUGUCCUUCGUGGUGGCCCUCCUCCACGUCACCUGCAUCUCGCAGUACAUGGAGUGCAGCCUCUACUGGGGCUACCCAAGCAGGUCGCGCUCCGAGCUCGCGGAGAACUUCUUCUUCAUCCUCGGCGUCGCCGCGCCGGUCGUCGCCGGCGCUCACGCGGUGUACAGCCCUCUAGGCAGAGACGACGACGCCGCCGCCGCCUCCUGCGAAGAGACCAAGCAGCUCCACGCAGCCGGAGCCGAAGAAUCGCCGGAAGAAAUGACGGUGGUCGGCAACCCGAUGUGGGCGGGGGAGCUGCUGGACUGCGGCGAGGACCCGGCGGCGUGCUACCUGUCGUUCCUCUGCACCUUCUGCGUGUUCGGCUGGAACAUGGAGCGGCUGGGGCUGGGCAACAUGUACAUGCACACGGCCAUGUUCCUGCUGCUGUGCGUCGCGCCCUUCUGGGUGUUCAACGUCACGGCGCUCAGCAUCCACGACUACGCCCUCAGCGAUGCCUUCGGCGCCGCCGGGGUGGUGCUCUGCUUCCUCGGGCUCCUGUACGGGGGCUUCUGGAGGAUGCAGAUGAGGAAGCGGCUCGGGCUGCCCCGGAGCAGGUGGUGCUGCGGCUCGUCGUCGCUGACGGACUACGCGCAGUGGCUCCUCUGCUGGCCGUGCGCGCUCGCGCAGGAGGUGCGCACGGCGAACCUGUACGACCCGAGGGGCGACGGCGGUUUCUACGGGAAGCUGGUGGACGGCGGUGACCCGGAGCGAGGGCCGGACGUGCCGGUCUCCGCUGAAGUGCAGGAGGUGGUCGGCGGUGUUGUCAAUCCGACGGUGGACGGCGAGAUGAUCCCGCCCGUGCAGCCGGUGGUGGAGUCUGGACGGCAGAGGCAAGCCGGCCACGAAGAAAUUGUUGCAAAUGGCAGUAGCGUCCAGCUCAAAAGUUGACCGCAGCUGUUGGAUGGUGACUGAUGCUGUAGAGUAUUCGCAAGCUGACGGAUAUAUUCUUCCUUUUUGGGGGAUCGAUGUCACCAUUUUGACAUUGUUAUGCUCCUGGUUUGUCAUGCUCUGCACGGGACUUUAGGUCGUUAUAAGUCAUUAGUUAGUCCAGUUUUAUUCAGAUCAGCUACCUUGACACUCCAACAGAUGUCAUCUUUCAUCGAUUCUUUUCGUAUUGCACGUUACUGGAAGAAGAAGAAGAAAGCCUCUCGUGAUUAUUUUGAGAGGCUCCUACUAUGACGAUGAUGAUGCAAUAUAAAAUCAUGCGUAAGCCUCUGGGCAAAGAAUAAGGGCAUGUACAAUGAUGGCAUAUGGAUACAGAUGCCCCAUGACAAAAAGUAGUUUGAGGCAUCUACAUUUAUUUUUUCUCCUCAAUGCAAGCUACCAUUAGUGGGCCUCAUUAAGAAAUAGAAAAUAAAGACUUUAGUACACAUGCAUCUCUAUUUUUCACUCCAACCUUUUCAGCUUUUGAUCCCGGACCACACUUUUCCUCUCCAAGCACCUGCCUCCUCGAGAGGAUCCCGCUUUCCUAUCCGAACCUACUUUACGUCAUAUCCGAUCCUACAUGGCAUGCGAGGCAUCACCCUGAGGCUAUGCAUUGUACAUGCCCUAAUGUACCAUGUCAUCUAGUGUGUUCCAGUAACUCCAGAAAGAUUUAGCUGGACCCAGUUCAAAAGUAGAUUCUUGCGCGUUUCAUGGUAGCCUUGGGCAACCUGUGGAGUCCCUCUCCGAGUGUGAAAGAAAUGCUCAAACGCCCUGCCUUCACGAUGACAGCUUUAAAGCGAACCGAUGCUAUGUGCUUUGUCGUUCACGGUGGAGAACAAAAGUUCGCCGUUGCUUGUGGAAAAGAGAAAGGUUCAGACGCAGUAUAUAAGCUCCAGGAUACAGAGAGACUGUGAAACCUCUCCACUUCAGACUUCAGAGCUGCCUGGGAAGUGGUGGCUGCACCUGCACAGUAGCAGUCUCCUGUUCAGUUCUACUCGCCGAGAAACCAAGCCAUGGCUGUAAGUUACUGGUCAGAUCUUCUGUUUAUUCAACAGUAUGUAUGCAUGUAUCUGAAGAACUACUGUGCGUAUAGAAAUGGAAAGUUGAUUUCAUGGAUGGAUGCUUGCAGGUGGUGGAGUUGAAGGUCGGGAUGCACUGCGACAGGUGCAUCAAGUCGAUCAAGAAGGCGAUCAAAACGAUCGAUGGUACGAAAGCCUCUGAUCCACUCGACAAAACACAGCCUCACUUUCCAUACUUUGCAGUAUAUGGUUAAUUAUUAACCCUGGUUUGUGCGUGCGUAUGCGCAGACAUGGAGAGCUACCAGCUCGAGAAGGAGACGAACAAGGUGACCGUGACGGGGAAUAUCACCCCGGAGGAAGUGGUGAAGGCUCUGCAGAAGAUCGGGAAGACGGUAACUUACUGGGGUGAGUGAAGAACAGAGCCCAGAGGAAGACGAGCCACACGGUAACAACUUAUUGUUACUGGGAGUGCGGACUAUAGAGCCCACGUAGUUAGCUAGCUAGUUAGUAUUAGCUCAUGUGCUUACCAUGGGAUAUCAGGAGCUAUUUAUACUGCAGAUCGGGUAAUUCUGGUGAGUUUCUUUGAACUGGUAGAUGUUGGUUCUUCCCUCGCUUGAUCCCAUAUUGACCGCGGCGUCGUCGUGUUGGGUUAACUCUUCUGUAUUGCGUAUACUGAACUCAUGGCAAAGUCUUGUAGAGGAUGAACCCAACUUUUGUACGUUUUCACGGGGAAUAUAUGUAUGAAAGGAGUGAUAUAACUGUCAGGAUUAGUUUCAGACUUCCAGUUUUCAUCUUAACGAACAGAUGUCUCAGCUGGACUGGCUGACCGUGCUAACGUUGAUUGAUUGAUUGAUACUACGAGUAGCAAGCAAGCCACCCCUUAUCCAUUCAGCAAUCAUACAGAUACAGUUGCAUCGUAACAGCAAGAUCGGUCCUUCGUCGACAUCGAUCCAACUAUAUACUACUAGUGUCCAUAGUCAAUAAAGGGUACCCUUUUUCAGAAAAUAAAAAAAGUUAAAGAUCGAAUACAUCUAUCAGUACGCAAUUCAAACGGCUUCGUUUUUAGAUCUUUCUUUAAGUUUUGUUAGGGGUUUUUGUCCUGAUCAGGAAGUUGAGAUAGUGACGGCUCUCUGAAGAUAAAAUAAGGUUCUUUUUGUCUAGCCCAUGUUUUGGUGAUGCGUCUAGCAUCAUCGGUAAACGUGUGAAGGUGUGUCUCCGCUGGAUCUAUCUUUGGUGGAUCCUUCCAAUCAACGCUACUCUUUAUCGGCGGCGGUUGCUGCUUUGGUGCGCUGGUCUUAUAAUGCUUUAGCAUGACGAUUUUUCGACUGUCUACUACAAUAAGUUUUGUCCGGCUCUGGUGAUGUAGGGGCGAUGACGGCGGCGCGCCUUCGGCUCUCUUCAGUGCUUCUAGUCGUUGCUAGGUGGUCUACUGAUCUGGAUGCAAUUUUGAUUAUUUUUUGUGUUCGUUUUACUGUCAUGAUUACACAUGAAUAGAUAGAAAGUUUUUCUUAAAAAUAAAAUAAAAUAAAAAAUAUGCUAUCCAAACACAGAAUCGGUACUUCCGCGAAGACACGAAACCAUAAAACUUGAGAACUACCGAAGACAUUUGCCGGUGCACUGAUGAAGAUGACAACAAAACCCUGAGAUCGAUAGAUAUACCGGUGUAGGGUAGAUCCACGACGACGACGACCUGUUCGACGUACUCGUGGUGCUUCAAAGUUCAAACUGGCCAGCCGUUCUCACAAGAAAACGCCAUCAAUUCGUUCGUUUGCCCUCAGCUCUCCUCUUCCGUGCAUACAUGCAUGCGUAGACACCUCUGCUUCGUUGCUGUCCCCGCGGCGGAGGCAGCGGCAUGCAUGCAUGCGUGCACCUUCCCCGCUUCUGCCGCCGGCGCCACCACCGCAGUCCGCAGAGGAAAGUCCUGCGCCACCGGUACGUACGUUCGGCCGGGUGCAGAGAACCGCAGCCUCGCCCCCACCCGGUACACGUCGCACGUGUAUGCGCGCGCGUCCGUGCCCAUCGCGCUGCCGGCCGCCGAGCUCGCAUGCCAGCAGCAUGCAGUUGCGUCCCGCUCUUCUCUUCUCUUCGUCCUCCGCCCGCCUUUCUGCCGAGAAGGCUCCCGGUCACGUCUCGCCGAGGAAACGUGCGCUGCUCUGGCAUGGAAGAACACGUCAGGUCAGGGCCUCGUGGCGGUCCAGAGCCAAGCCGCGGCCGCCACGGCGUCGCCGCAUCCCGCGUGCACCAGCACCCGUGUAUGCCCAUAUACAGUGGACCGAAAGAAACGGGCAGGACAAACGCAGAGUAGAUAUCACCGUUGUGCCGCGCCGUACUGCCGUCGCGUCGGGUUACCGAUGAUCGAAGAAACAGGUCGAUCGCCGGUUAAGAACAUGUGGGCCGGGAAGGAUCAGUGGGUCAAAACAGUGAUCGAUAGGGUCGGUCGCUGAUCGAUCUUAGCCGUGGCGCCUUCCGAGAAAGGUGGGAGACAGAAACGUUGCUCCCUUCGAGGAAGGAGGGGGAGCUGUGGAAAAGACGUCCCGAAGGGGAAGCCUACGGCUCACGGAAGAGCGGGGCAGGACCGCACGAAGAUAGCGAAACGCCGUAUGGAAACGUCUGCCCGUGGGCCCGUCGAUGGAUGGAUCAGUCCACGGCGAAAAAAUGGACCGGCGUUUCUUACGUCUUCGUGCCCACACAAGGCCACAACUAAUGGAUAAUUACUCACAUGACCUUCUUUCAGUUUUUUUCCUUGUAUAUAUUGUGAAAGGUAGAGGCAUUGUUAUGAGCUUCAUGCUGACAUGUAUAUCUUUUUUGUUUGAGUUGGAAUUGUUGUAAUCCUAUAUAUGUUACAGAGUGACCCAACUAUCUUAUUUAUCUGAACAUGCAAGUACGUCAUCUUAUCAUACAACCAUGAAUGAGAUAUGACUCAACUCAACAUGCAACCAUGCAUGUUAAAAGACCGACCAUAAUAUUCAACCAUCCAAGAAAAAUAUUUUACAUUCAGUAGUAUAUUCAAUAAAUAUUUUACAACUAUACAUAAUACAGUAUAAUAAGUCAUAUGUAUCUUUAAAUUUUGCUUCUAAUGUCAUCAACACAAAUUUUCAUUAACCAAUUCCCGAAAAAAAACGUGUGGAGUAUCCUCUAGUUUGUUAAAAAGUCACGACAACUUCUGAGGCAACCACUACACUAACACACGCCAGAGGGACAUGGAACAAAGUUUUACAAAGCUUAUUAGUACAACCUUCCCUAGCCGAGCUAUGAGCGACUUUAUUCGCCGUGUGUCGCACCCAACUUACUUUGGACUCCUCAAAACCCUGCGGAAGUCCUUUCACCUCUUGAACAAUCUGUCUGUAUAUCUGGCAGUGGAGUUAGAAUUAGACUAGAGCACCGUGUCGUGUAUCUCUGGCUCCAUCCGUAUGUAUUUCGUUGUCCUGCUCUUCCUCAUUCUUCCUUUUCCUUGACAUGUUUCCCCUCCUCUACUCUUUUACUCCCUCCGUAAGGAAAUAUAAGAGCGUUUAGAUCACUAAAGUAGUGAUCUAAACGCUCUUAUAUUUCUUGACAGAGGGAGUACAUCUUUUUCUGGGCUUAAGAUCCAAUGACUUCUCCCGGCAAAGUCACAAUGUAACUUACCCUUUUAUAUACACGGUUAAAACUAGACCGACGACACAUAAUGAAUGGGAACCAAGAAUAGGAAGACUUGACAUGACACCCACUUUGAUAAAAACCAACCUAUUUUUUUUUCAAAACUUGUGGAUGUACACCGCCAUAUGAGAUCCGAAUAGAUAUAUUUUUACAUACAUAUCGAUUUGUUUUUGUUUGUUUCGAGGAAUUGGCGGGAGCACUACCUUUUCAUUAAGUCUAAAGGUAGGGUUUAUGCACAGAGAGGACUAGUAAUUAGGGAACACAUAAAAACCCCAAAGACAGGGUUUUUAUGUAUAGAGAGGGUUUAUAAUACCGUUAAUGUAAAUGGGGCUCUAAUGGAAAGAGUGGCAAAAGUGAAACUACAAACGCAAGGCUAGAAGCAAGAUAGGUACUCAUGGAAAAUGUAUGGAAAUCCAAAAGGGAAACAUCGAGAAUGGUUGGAGUUGUGCUCUUUUUAGCCUCUCUGCCUUUGCAUUUUUUCUUCUUCUAUGAACUAUAAAUGGCAUAUAUUUGGUUAAAAGUCAUAGGUUCACAUUCAAUACGAUAAAUGUAUGCCCACAUAUCAUUUUCACACUUUUCAGAGAAACAUAAAAUGUUACUCUCUUUAAAGUCAAUGUCAUAGACUCUUACUAAGGAUCCAAAUAGUCGGGGAGGUGUUUUAUGAAUUAGCAUACAAUAUUCCAAGGUAUUGCAUCUUGAUUGGUUAACUUAGGAUCAAAUAUAUACAUAUCGUUUAAACAAUCACUAGCAUGUUGUUUAUUGUUAAACAAAUAGAGAAAUCUCACGUUACACAUUAAUUCUCUAUAUGAACCAGUUGUUUCCAGUGACUUAAAUACGCGAUUGUACGACACUCGUCUCCAAUAUCAUGGUGAUCAGUUUACUAAAGUUGGGCAUAACUGAAUAAUAAAAAUACAAUGAAUUUACUGUUAACUAGAGAUGAUUUCAUGUUGACCCACAAAAUAUGUCGAGUAUCAUGUUCGCAUCAGUAUUUCCAAACUCUGUCAAUCAAAUUUUGUGAAACUUUUGGAUGUUUCGGCGACAUUGCAACAACAUUUUACUAGGAUAGUUACAUCUUCUUGUUUUCUUUUAUUUUUGGCCUACAUAAGUUUUGUUGAAUCAACUUACGUGGCCAAAUUUUGCCACGAUUGCAACUUUUUCCAGGUAAGGUGUGGUAUUUACACGCCCUGAUUCGGAAGCACAUAUUUUUUUUCAACAAUGAACCUAGCUUACAAGUGAACUAUAGUCAUGUUUUUUACAUGACAUGCAAUGAAUUCACUAGCUAGUGUAAAUUAAGCAACACCUACAUCUAAUACAUUGUAAUAUAACUGUUUUACAUUAUGAGUAAAGACAUGUGUAUCGAAUCCAUAGCACGAUCAACAUCAUUGUCAUUGGCGGCAAUCCAAAUUUGGUUGGUAUUUGUUUAGCAAAUCUUUUUUGAUAAACUUAUUUUUUGCAAAAAUUAGCAAAAGUGAAAUAAUCGUAUGAACUUGAGGCUUAGUGACGGUUAACAUUAUCAAUCAAUGUGUAGAUGCAAACAACUGCAUUUAAGGAACACGGAUGGUCUCGAAGAUGGCUGUCAGUCUUCAGUGAAAUGACAAGAAAACAUUUUUUUUCAAUCGUGAAUUGGAGCAUGUAUUUUCCUGCUGAAUUUGUCUUACUGUUUGGUUCUCUAUUGGAUUUAGCAAACUUCUCUAACCGAGUCAAAUUCCACAAUUUCUAAGAACCUGAGUGGGCAUCCAGGAGGCACAAUAAACAGUUACAAGCUGGAGAAUCCACUAGUAGGUCAGCUACCGGUGCCAUCCGAAAUUUCUUUCGAUUAGGAAGAAUGAUUAAGGAGAGGUAAAAAUAUGCUGUGAAUAGGAUUGGUUAUGUAUUUAAUAUGAGAGUAUUUAGGUGGUAGUCUUACUUACACAACCCUAGGGUAAGGAUCAUGAAAUUAGAUUAGAUACAUUUGGAUGUUGGGAUAAAAAAUUAUAGAAAAGGGCACACUUUAUAUUACACUAUAUAAAAGAAUAAAAAAGUAGUUUUUUUCAAUCAACCCACACGGUUAAAUGAUAGAUUAAUGGCGGUGGUAUGUAGGGUGUCAAAAAUUGAAGUCUAAAAUUUGUGGUGUACUCAUUUUGAUAUUUAUAGGAGCAUUACUAUCUUCUAGAAGAUAUAUCUUCAGGNNNNNNNNNNNNNNNNNNNNNNNNNNNNNNNNNNNNNNNNNNNNNNNNNNNNNNNNNNNNNNNNNNNNNNNNNNNNNNNNNNNNNNNNNNNNNNNNNNNNNNNNNNNNNNNNNNNNNNNNNNNNNNNNNNNNNNNNNNNNNNNNNNNNNNNNNNNNNNNNNNNNNNNNNNNNNNNNNNNNNNNNNNNNNNNNNNNNNNNNNNNNNNNNNNNNNNNNNNNNNNNNNNNNNNNNNNNNNNNNNNNNNNNNNNNNNNNNNNNNNNNNNNNNNNNNNNNNNNNNNNNNNNNNUAAAUUUCAACUAAACAACCAGAAUAGCAAGUUUUUAGUGUUACACGGGAGUGAGCAACGAGAAAGCCCUACCGACGUAGAUCGUCGAAACAUGCGAAGCAGGAGGCCACAUCUCCCUUGUGAUGCAACGGGAGAUGAUUUGCAUCAUCCCGACACCAACAUCGCAGGUUUUAGAGGGAGGCCACAUCAUCAUUGAAGGUGACGCCAUUCUUAUGCUUUCAUAGUCACCAAUAGCACACGAGCACGAAAGUGGAGGAGGUGCGAUGUGGGACCUCUAGGAGGUUCGCGACAUCAAACUCAUGCGGCGACGCCACGAAGGCCAGAGUACCAGGAGGAAUACCGAUAAAAGUAUACAAAAUAGAUUUCUAACUAGUUUGUUCAAUGUUUGUGUCACAUGCAAAUCAAAGCAUUUUCGUUGUUUCUUUUUCUUUUUUUGCAAGGAAAGGGCUUUUUGUCGUGAGUGUUGUGCUUCUUUCGGAUAUAAACGCAUAUACAAUUUUACUUGUUAAUUUCUAAAUUUAAAUUUUAUCUUGUUAUAAUUGCGACCCACGAUCUAAUCAACGGGUGAGAUAAAUUCACCUAUGUGAAUGAAUGUGAUGGCCUAUUUGCAUCUUGUCUAACAUAAUAAACAUACAUUUCAAUAUGCAUGAGGUAAUAGUCUUACGUUCAAACCAAGUGAGGAGUCACUAUACAGGUUUACUUAUCUCAUGACAACCACUCCUAUCAAAGUAGUUAAAUUUUAAAAGGAGGGCAGUCCCGAUUAACUAGAAAAGAGGUCAGCCAGUAGAAUUAUUUAACCCAUGCAUGUCGAAAGAUAUUGGUGGGCGCAACUUUGGGUCCUGGUUGAAACAACAAUAAAGAAGAAAAUCAGAGGAUUAAAUUAUAUGUGUGGUGUCACUUUAAGAAGGAAAGAAUAACUUUUCAAAACAUUAUUUGAAAAUUCUACCGAAUGGACUAUUUUCUUUCGUAUAGGAGUUGAAAACACAUGUCAUCGAAAGAUACUUUUUGAAGUUUGUUUGUGUUUAUAAAGUUCUUGCUCCACUGCAAUUGAGUACAAUGAUCAGUGAUCAGAGCAAGAACAAAAACGGAUAUAAAACGAAGAACAACCACAAAAGGCAGCCAAGCAAAGCAAGCAUAGCAUGGACAUGACAAACUCAGUGGCACCAUAUAUGUACAAGAACAUAGCUCCAAACAGUAAAUCGGAUCGAAGCAUCAUAAUUAAACUAGUAUUGCGUUCUGUCUCUUAGCUUCAAUCAUGCUGAUUUAAUCCCCUCAACACUUGUUUAGAACCAAGGAGUACAAUCCACGCUGGACGUUGGAACAGGUCAAAGAAAUGAGCCACGACCACCAACUCCUCCGCUCACCCAGAACCAUACCCGCACCCGCACCAGUGUGUCAGGACGCCUGCCACGUCGCCCCCACUCGGCGGCAUGGCUCGUCGCUACUGGUGGGUACCUCCCGUCAGCCCGUCUCUCGUCGCUCGUUAGCCUAACGCGCCGCCAGUCAAACGGCACGAGGUUUGACCAGUCCACGGUCAAAGUUUCCAAAGCUCUAUAUAGUCCUCCUCCCCCGUUCCGUCCAAGCAAUCCAACCGAUCGCCCCUCUCCCCCUCCGCCUCCUCCCCCCUCUCCCUCGCCGUACGUACACGCCGGACGCAGACACGCCGGCGAGACGACCGUCGUACGCCGUAACUCACACGCGCGCAAUUUUGGAUCAGAGUCCUCUCCGAUGACUACCUCGUCGUCAGGGAGCGUGGAGACGUCGGCCAAUUCGAGGCCCGGCUCCUUCUCCUUCGGGAGCGCGAGCUUCACUGAAAUGCUGGGCGGCUCCGCCGCGGCCGGCGGUGCGUCCGGGUACAAGGCCCUGACCCCGCCUUCCCUGCCGCUCUCGCCUUCGCUCAUGUCCCCGUCGUCCUUCUUCAGCAUGCCCGCCGGCAUGAACCUCGCCGACUUCCUCGACUCCCCGGUGCUCCUCACCUCCAGCGUAAGCAAGCGCGCCAUGGAAUUCCGCUGGCGCCAUGUCAUCCGACUGAAUUCGUGUCGCUGAUUCGCGGUUUUGGUUGGUCGUUUCAGAUCUUCCCGUCACCCACGACGGGCGCGUUCGGGUCGCAGUUCAACUGGCGGCCGGAGGCGCCGACGCCGAGCGCCGCCGAGCAGGGCGGCAAGGAGGAGCAGAGGCAGCCCUACUCCGACUUCUCGUUCCAGACGGCGCCGGCGAACACCGAGGAGGCCGCGCGUGCGACGACGACUAGCUUGCAGCCACCGGUUGCAGUGGCGUCACAGGUGAGAUCACGAACCAUGCGGACUUUGUCAAAUAAGUAUAAACUAGUUGCACUAGAAUACCAUUUUUCUUCAUUCCGCGUCCACAAACGGAGCACCUGUCGCGCUGUCGUGUCAUGAUCUUUUCAUUUUUAUAAGAUGGCUGUGAGAAAUAGUCCCCGUGAUAGCGAUUGAUUAGCGGCAACCCCAACAGCGCACGAGAGAUUCCCUAAUUUUAAAUUAUCCUUUGCAAUGAUUCAGGGGGAGGAGGCGUACACAGGCCAGCAGCCGCCGCAGCAGCAGGCGUGGGGGUACGGCCAGCAACAAGAAGGCAUGGACGCGAGUGCCUCCAACCCGGCGAGCUUCAGCGCGCCGGCGCUCCAGGCGACCUCGUCGGAGAUGGCGCCGGCGGGCGCCUACAGGCAGACGCACUCGCAGAGGCGGUCGUCGGACGACGGGUACAACUGGCGCAAGUACGGGCAGAAGCAGGUGAAGGGGAGCGAGAACCCCCGCAGCUACUACAAGUGCACCUUCCCCAACUGCCCCACCAAGAAGAAGGUGGAGACGUCGCUGGAGGGCCAGAUCACCGAGAUCGUCUACAAGGGCACGCACAACCACGCCAAGCCGCUCAACACGCGCCGGGGCUCCGGCGGCGGCGCGGCCGCGGCUCAGGUGCUGCAGAGCGGCGGCGACGCGUCCGAGAAUUCCUUCGGCGCGAUCGUCACGACGCCCGAGAACUCGUCGGCGUCCUUCGGGGACGACGACAACAACGGCGUGAGCUCGCCGCGGGCUGGCAACGACAACGACGAUGAUGAGCCGGAUUCCAAGAGGUGAGCGCCGAAUUGUACUUUAAAUAUAUUUUUGGAUUCAAUGUGUAUGUACGAGUUGCAUUCUUGGAGGAACAGGGGAAAUUAACCUGCUAUCGGCCAAAUUUUCAGGAGGAAAGACGGUGGUGACGGCGAGGGAAUCAACAUGGCCGGCAACCGGACGGUGCGGGAGCCGAGGGUGGUCGUCCAGACCAUGAGCGACAUCGACAUCCUCGACGACGGGUACCGGUGGAGGAAGUACGGGCAGAAGGUGGUGAAGGGCAACCCGAACCCGCGCAGCUACUACAAGUGCACCACCGUGGGGUGCCCCGUGCGGAAGCACGUGGAGCGCGCGUCCCACGACCUGCGCGCCGUGAUCACCACGUACGAGGGCAAGCACAACCACGACGUGCCGGCCGCCAGGGGGAGCGCCGCGCUCUACCGCCCCGCGCCCCGGGCGGCGGACAGCACCGCGAGCACCGGCCACUACCUUAACCCGCAGCCGUCCGCCAUGGCGUACCAAACCAGCACGGGAGGCCCCAACGUCGCCGCCGCCGGGACGCAGCAGUACGCGCCGAGGCCCGACGGGUUCGGCGGCCAGAACCAGGGCUCGUUCGGCUUCAACGGCAGCUUCGGCUUCUCCGGGCCCGGGUUCGACAACCCGACGGCGUCGUACAUGAGCCAGCACCAGCAGCAGCAGAGGCAGAACGACGCGAUGCACGCGUCGAGCGCCAAGGAGGAGCCGAGGGAGGAGGACAUGUUCUUCCAGAACUCCCAGUACUGACCAGCGAGUGUCAGAAAUGGCAAACCACACGGCGAGAUGGAGCUUUAUCCUGUAAUAAUACGUAAUUGUACUAGGAUAGGCGUAGACACAUUCGUUUAUUUGUUGGGAGGCACAUAGUUGCAGAGGGCUGCACAAAAGGGCUCCCUUCCUUGACACGUCGGAGUAAAGAAAAUAUUUAGGACUGUAGCAUACACACAAGAUAGGGGGUUGAAGCAGUUUUGCUUUGCCAUUGUUUCCACCUCCACAUAGAAGUAUGUUGUUGAAUUCAAAUUUUAGUAAUAGCAGAAAUUUGUCAUUAUUCAAGUUUCACAGUGUGAAUGAUGAGAUAGUGGUAUGUUUUAUUCUCAGCGACAGCGUACCAGACCUCAGAUGUACUUAUUGUAAAUUUGUAAUCCAAUCAUUUUGUAGUUGCACAGGCUAUAGACUGAACAAUCAAACAAUACAUACCGAAUUAUGGUUUGGCAGCUAAAAAAAAGUCCACUUUAUAAGCCCGAACUUGCCACCCGGAUGAACAUUCAACCCCCAACUUCAAAAUCGGUCAUCCCACAUUCCGAACUAACCAACCGUUUAGAAAUCACCACCCAUGCACUCCCACCCCCCUCCCCGGCGGUUUCGACCGACUUCAUCGAUUUUGACCGUGGUGACUGCCGAGUUAGCCCGCCACGCCAGCUCCUUAAUGUGGAACCACACAGAUCAAACACCUCCAUUGCUUCUUGCCAGCUCCGGCCUUCCCAACCACCCGAGGUAUUGUUGCACAUGUGCUUCGGACCGUUGAUGUCUACUACACAACCUUCUUCUUGUAGACGUUGUUGGGCCUCCAAGUGCAGAGGUUUGUAGGACAGUAGCAAAUUUCCCUCAAUUAGAUGACCUAAGAUUUAUCAAUCCGUGGGAGGUGUAGGAUGAAGAUGGUCUCUCUCAAGCAACCCUGCAACCAAAUAACAAAGAGUCUCUUGUGUCCCCAACACACCCAAUACAAUGGUAAAUUGUAUAGGUGCACUAGUUCGGCAAAGAGAUGGUGAUACAAGUGCAAUAUGGAUGGUAGAUAUAGGUUUUUGUAAUCUGAAAAUAUAAAAACAGUAAGGUAACUAAUGAUAAAAGUGAGCACAAACGGUAUUGCAAUGCGUUGAAACAAGGCCUAUGGUUCAUACUUUCACUAGUGCAAGUUCUCUCAACAAUAAUAACAUAAUUGUAUCACAUAACUAUCCAUCAACAUACAACAAAGAGUCACUCCAAAGCCACUAAUAGCGGAGAACAAACGAAAAGAUUAUGGUAGGGUACGAAACCACCUCAAAGUUAUUCUUUCGGAUCGAUCUAUUCAAGAGUUCGUACUAGAAUAACACCUUAAGACACAUAUCAACCAAAACCCUAAUGUCACCUAGAUACUCCAAUGUCACCUCAAGUAUCCGUGGGCAUGAUUAUACGAUAUCCAUCACACAAUCUCAGAUUCAUCUAUUCAACCAACACAAAAGUACUUCAAAGAGUGCCCCAAAGUUUCUACCGGAGAGUCAAGACGAAAACGUGUGCCAACCCUUAUGCAUAAGUUCAUGGGCGGAACCCGCAAGUUGAUCACCAAAACAUACAUCAAGUGGAUCACGUGAUAUCCCAUUGUCACCACAGAUAAGCACGGCAAGACAUACAUCAAGUGUUCUCAAAUCCUUAAAGACUCAAUCCGAUAAGAUAUCUUCAAAGGGAAAACUCAAUCCAUUACAAGAGAGUAGAGGGGGAGAAACAUCAUAAGAUCCAACUAUAAUAGCAAAGCUCGCGAUACAUCAAGAUCGUGCCAACUCAAGAACACGAGAGAGAGAGAGAGAGAGAGAGAGAGAGAUCAAACACAUAGCUACUGGUACUUACCCUCAGCCCCGAGGGUGAACUACUCCCUCCUCGUCAUGGAGAGCGCCGGGAUGAUGAAGAUGGCCACCGGUGAGGGAUCCCCCCUCCGGCAGGGUGCCGGAACAGGGUCCCGAUUGGUUUUUGGUGGCUACAGAGGCUUGCGGAGGCGGAACUCCCGAUCUAUUCUGUUCCCCGAUGGUUUUAGGGUAUAUGGAUAUAUAUAUAUAUAUAUAUAUAGGCGAAAGAAGUCGGUCAGGGAAGCCACGAGGGGCCCACGAGGGUGGAGGGCGUGCCGAGGAGGGUAGGGCGCGCCUCCCUGCCUCGUGGCUUCCUCGAAGCUUCCUUGACGUCUACUCCAAGUCUCCUGGAUUGCUUCCAUUCCAAAAAUAACUCUCCCGAAGGUUUCAUUCCGUUUGGACUCCGUUUGAUAUUCCUUUUCUUUGAAACACUGAAAUAGGCAAGAAAACAUCAAUUUGGACUGGGCCUUCGGUUAAUAGGUUAGUCCCAAAAAUAAUAUAAAAGUGUUUAGUAAAGCCCAUAAACAUCCAAAACAGAUAAUAUAAUAGCAUGAAUACUUCAUAAAUUAUAGAUACGUCGGAGAAGUAUCAACCGUUCUGUCGCGCUGAUCAACCCGAUGCCCCACCCCGCCUCGUCGCUGCCCCCCUCCCCUCCCGCCGCUCAUCCGCAACAACUACUUUCCUCCCCAAGCCACAACAACCCAUGAUCCACACAACCACAACCCGACGUUGUGUCAUCAUGGCUCAUACUCCUCGUCGCGCAUCGGCAUGCCCCCCGGAGGCCGCGGAGAUCUAGCAUCGUUGCUCCCACUGAUGAUGCACGCCGUCCUCCUACGCCUCUUAGCUGAUGGAUUCGAGUGAUCCGCCUCGUGCUUUCCCUGGUGGCAAGUGGGCACUGUCAGUGGGUGGAACCAAACAUGGGCAAGAGAGAAGUCGCGCGCGUCCAGGGACCAAUUGUCGUGUUCACGUGCCCGCCGAGGAAGAGCCCACCGAUGCCGCAUCAACGCUGAAGGAAGGCAAGCGGCUUCAAGAACAAGCUGGAGAGAGCGAUACUCACGACCUGACUGGUGGCAGUCUGGUCCAGUGGGGAUGGAGGGGUGCGUUGCUGCCGCCACCAGUCAGGAGAAAGAGAGAGCGAGAGAGAGAGCGAGAGAGAGAGAAGGUACAUAAUGUGUCAAGAAAUAUAGGGGUCAACAGCUAACCUGACGAUGCUGACUAGGUAGUCAACAUGGUCAAAACUGCUCCAUCGAGUCAAAACCAUACGCCGAGGGAGGGAGGGGAAGGAGUCAUUCCAAAACCACAUGGUUAGUUUGGGGUGCGGAUGAUUGGUUUUGAAGUUGACGGUUGAAUGUCAAACCUAGUAAAAAAAUCGCGAUUGUAAAGUGAACUCUGUGAAAAGGGUUUGGCAAUUGUCCGAUAGCAGAUGUUCCCUUUGUGAGGUAUACAAAUAAGAACAUCUCUAGCAGAUCCCUCUAAAACUCGCACGUCUCGGUCAAUUCUGAUAGAUAUGCGGGUUUGGGCUUUUUUUUGUUGGGGAACAUAGUAAUUUCAAAAAAUUUCCUACGCACACGCAAGAUCAUGGUGAUGCAUAGCAACGAGAGGGGAGAGUGUUGUCCACGUACCCUCGUAGACCGAAAGCGGAAGCGUUAUGACACCGCGGUUGAUGUAGUCGUACAUCUUCACGAUCCGACUGAUCCAAGUACCGAACACACGGCACCUCCGAGUUCAGCACACGUUCAGCUCGGUGACGUCCCACGAACUCACGAUCCAGCAGAGCUUCAAGGGAGAGUUCCGUCAGCACGACGGCGUGAUGACGAUGAUGAUGAUGCUACCGACGCAGGGCUUCGCCUAAGCACCGCUACGAUAUGACCGAGGUGGAUUAUGGUGGAGGGGGGCAAAAGAUCAACUGAUCAACUUGUGUGUCUAUGGGGUGCCCCCUCCCCCGUAUAUAAAGGAGUGGAGGAGGGGGAGGGGCAGGCCCUCCUAGGCGCGCCCCAAGGGGAGUCCUACUCCUACCGGGAGUAGGACUCCAACCCUUCCAAGAGUAGGAGUAGGAGAGAGGGAAGGAGGAGAGAGGGGGAAGGAAAGGGGGGCGCCGCCCCCCCUCCUUGUCCAAUUCGGACUAGAGGGGGAGGGGGCGCGCGGCCUGCCCUGGCCGCCCCUCCUCUUCUCCACUAAGGCCCAAUAGGCCCAUUACACUCCCCGGGGGGUUCCGGUAACCCCCCGGUACUCCGGUAUUUGUCCGAACUUGCCCGGAACCCUUCCGAAGUCCAAACAUAGUCAUCCAAUAUAUCGAUCUUUAUGUAUCGACCAUUUCGAGACUCCUCGUCAUGUCCGUGAUCAUAUCCGGGACUCCGAACUACCUUCGGUACAUCAAAACACAUAAACUCAUAUUACCGAUCGUCACCGAACGUUAAGCGUGCGGACCCUACGGGUUCGAGAACUAUGUAGACAUGACCGAGACUCGUCUCCGGUCAAUAACCAAUAGCGGAACCUGGAUGCUCAUAUUGGUUCCUACAUAUUCUACGAAGAUCUUUAUCGGUCAAACCGCAUAACAACAUACGUUGUUCCCUUUGUCAUCGGUAUGUUACUUGCCCGAGAUUCGAUCGUCGGUAUCUCAAUACCUUGUUCAAUCUUGUUACUGACAAGUCUCUUUACUCGUUCCGUAAUACAUCAUCCCGCAACUAACUCAUUAGUUGCAUUGCUUGCAAGGUUUAUAGUGAUGUGCAUUACCGAGAGGGCCCAGAGAUACCUCUCGGACAAUCGGAGUGACAAAUCCUAAUCUCGAUCUAUGCCAACUCAACAAGUAUCAUUGGAGACACCUGUAGAGCACCUUUAUAAUCACUCAGUUACGUUGUGACAUUUGGUAGCACACAAAGUGUUCCUCCGGUAUUCAGGAGUUGCAUAAUCUCAUAGUCAUAGGAACAUGUAUAAGUCAUGAAGAAAGCAAUAGCAAUAUACUAAACGAUCGAAUGCUAAGCUAACGGAAUGGGUCAAGUCAAUCACAUCAUUCUCUAAUGAUGUGAUCCCGUUAAUCAAAUCACAACUCAUGUCUAUGGCCAGGAAACUUAACCAUCUUUGAUUCAACGAGCUAGUCAAGUAGAGGCAUACUAGUGACACUCUGUUUGUCUAUGUAUUCACACAUGUAGUAAGUUUCCGGUUAAUACAAUUCUAGCAUGAAUAAUAAACAUUUAUCAUGAUAUAAGGAAAUAUAAAUAACAACUUUAUUAUUGCCUCUAGGGCAUAUUUCCUUCAUUUUUUUGCCCCAAUAGCCACCACACAUUGGCCCUGCCUGGAUAAAAAUAUCUGGCGAACCACAUAAGCACUCCCUCAGCCACUAUAUGAAAGUUACCGGGGGCAUAUAGGGUUAGCCUCCCCGAUCCCCUUCGUCGCGUUUUGUCUCCUUCAUCGCUAGCCUUAGCCAAGUUCGCGAGCAAUUUCUUGCUCCUCUACGCACCAUAUUCUCAAAGUCCAGCAGAUCGAUAGCCUUCGGAUCCGGCUGCGGCCAUGGGGGCCACAUCGGAGCAGGUGGGAGCCAUGGGGGUGCGCCUCCGAGCAAGCGCUCCAGCUACCCGUCGCUCCCGCAACUUCACGUGCAGGCCCGAAGCUAGAGCAACGUCGCGCUGUGGAGCGACGAGGACGGAGAUCGCAAGGUGGCGCAGUGCAAGCAGGAGCAGGACCGUGACCGCCUCUCCCAGACCAGUGGGGGGGGGGGGCGCUGGCCGCACGUAAUGCAGACCUGCGAGACCAUGGCGGCUCUUCUAGUGGUCAAGAUGCUAAGCGCCGCUGGGAGGAAGCCCGAGAGGAGCACAUGAACGCGUCGAUACAAAGCACCUCUGCCGUAAAGUUCUACCCCAACAUCGAGGACACCCAGCAUCUCAACGAGCUCGGUCCAUGAAGCCUAGGGUUUAGAGUUUCGUUUAUCUAGGGUUUGGUUUGUAAUUUGUAUGAACUCUGUUUGAUGUUCGUCUCCGUUUGUGAAAUGUGUUUGACGAAUUGCCACAUGAUCUCACUGAACAAAUUCUCGCGUGAAGUAGUUUUUCGAAUUACCCAGUACUGUUUUACGUAUAUGUUCUGCUUGAUGAAUUUGCAACCCGUAAAAGCAGUUUCAAGGGUACCGAAACUGGUUUUACGUUUGGGCACUGAUCUGCGCCGGUGCGCCGGCCGAACACUUAGGCCGUUCGUACCGUGAACAUGCGAUACAUUCCAUAAUAGCCGCACGAUUGCUUCUUCCCCCAAUUGCUUCGCUGGUAAAAAAAAGAAGUCAUGUCGUCUGUUCAUCCCCACUGCCCCGUGAUCUCCCAUACGCCAGCCAGCUCGCUGUUGGAAAUAUGCCCUAGAGGCAAUAAUAAAUAGGUUAUCAUUAUAUUUCCUUGUUCAUGAUAAUCGUUUAUUAUCCAUGCUAGAAUUGUAUUGAGAGGAAACUCAGAUGCAUGUGUGGAUACAUAGACAACACCAUGUCCCUAGUAAGCCUCUAGUUGACUAGCUCGUUGAUCAAUAGAUGGUCACGGUUUCCUGACCAUGGACAUUGGAUGUCGUUGAUAACGGGAUCACAUCAUUAGGAGAAUGAUGUGAUGGACAAGACCCAAUCCUAAGCCUAGCACAAGAUCGUGUAGUUCGUUUGCUAAGAGCUUUUCUAAUGUCAAGUAUCAUUUCCUUAGACCAUGAGAUUGUGCAACUCCCGGAUGCCGUAGGAAUGCUUUGGGUGUACCAAACGUCACAACGUAACUGGGUGACUAUAAAGGUGCACUACAGGUAUCUCCGAAAGUGUCUGUUGGGUUGGCACGAAUCGAGACUGGGAUUUGUCAUUCCGUGUAAACGGAGAGGUAUCUCUGGGCCCACUCGGUAGGACAUCAUCAUAAUGUGCACAAUGUGAUCAAGGAGUUGAUCACGGGAUGAUGUGAGUUACGGAACGAGUAAAGAGACUUGCCGGUAACGAGAUUGAACAAGGUAUCGGGAUACCGACGAUCGAAUCUCGGGCAAGUACCAUACCGAUAGACAAAUGGAAUUGGAUACGGGAUUGAUUGAAUCCUUGACAUCGUGGUUCAUCCGAUGAGAUCAUCGAGGAGCAUGUGGGAGCCAACAUGGGUAUCCAGAUCCCGCUGUUGGUUAUUGACCGGAGAACAUCUCGGUCAUGUCUGCAUGUCUCCCGAACCCGUAGGGUCUACACACUUAAGGUUCGGUGACGCUAGGGUUAUAGAGAUAUUAGUAUGCGGUAACCCAAAAGUUGUUUGGAGUCCCGGAUGAGAUCCCGGACGUCACGAGGAGUUCCGGAAUGGUCCGGAGGUAAAGAUUUAUAUAUGGGAAGUCUUAUUUUGGUCGCCGGAAAAGUUUCGCACUUUAUCGGUAUUGUACCGGGAGUGCCGAAAGGGGUCCGGGGGUCCACCAGCCCCGGGGGGCCACAUGGGCUGUAGGGGGUGCGCCUUGGCCUAUAUGGGCCAAGGGCACCAGCCCCAAGAGGCCCAUGCGCCAAGAGAUAAGGAAAAGGGAGAGUCCUAAAGGGGGAAGGCACCUCCGAGGUGCCUUGGGGGGGAAGGACUCCUCCCUGGCCGCACCCUUCCUUGGAGGAAGGGCCAAGGCUGCGCCCCCCCUCUCCCUUGGCCCUAUAUAUAGUGGGGGGAAGGGAGGGCAGCAAAACCUAAGCCCUGGCGCCUCCCUCUCCCUCCUGUGACACCUCUUCCUCCCCGCUUGCGCUUGGCGAAGCCCUGCCGGGAUCCCGCUACUUCCACCACCACGCCGUCGUGCUGCUGGAUCUCCAUCAACCUCUCCUCCCCCCUUGCUGGAUCAAGAAGGAGGAGACGUCGCUGCUCCGUACGUGUGUUGAACGCGGAGGUGCCGUCCGUUCGGCGCUAGGAUCAUCGGUGAUUUGGAUCACGACGAGUAAGACUCCAUCAACCCCGUUCUCUUGAACGCUUCCGCUCGCGAUCUACAAGGGUAUGUAGCUGCACUCCCCUUCCCCUCGUUGCUAGAUUACUCCAUAGAUUGAUCUUGGUGAUGCGUAGAAAAUUUUGAAUUUCUGCUACAUUCCCCGACAGUGGCAUCAUGAGCUAGGUCUAUGCGUAGUUUCUAUGCACGAGUAGAACACAAAGUAGUUGUGGGCGUAGAUGUUGCCAAUUCUUCUUGCCGCUACUAGUCUUAUCUUGUUUCGGCGGCAUUGUGGGAUGAAGCGGCCCGGACCGACCUUACACGUACGCUUACGUGAGAUAGGUUCCACCGACUGACAUGCACUAGUUGCAUAAGGUGGCUAGCGGGUGUCUGGCUCUCCCACUUUAGUCGGAACGGAUUCGAUGAAAAGGGUCCUUAUGAAGGGUAAAUAGAAAUUGGCAUAUCACGUUGUGGUUUUACGUAGGUAAGAAACGUUCUUGCUGGAAACCUAUACAAGCCACGUAAAAACUUGCAACAACAAUUAGAGGACGUCUAACUUGUUUUUGCAGCAUGUGCUAUGUGAUGUGAUAUGGCCAGAAGAUGUGAUGAAUGAUAUAUGUGAUGUAUGAGAUUGAUCAUAUUCUUGUAAUAGGAAUCACGACUUGCAUGUCGAUGAGUAUGACAACCGGCAGGAGCCAUAGGAGUUGUCUUUAUUUUUUGUAUGACCUGCGUGUCAUUGAAUAACGCCAUGUAAAUUACUUUACUUUAUUGCUAAGCGCGUUAGCCAUAGAAGUAGAAGUAAUCGUUGGCGUGACAACUUCAUGAAGACACAAUGAUGGAGAUCAUGAUGAUGGAGAUCAUGGUGUCAUGCCGGUGACAAAGAUGAUCAUGGUGCCCCGAAGAUGGAGAUCAAAGGAGCAAAAUGAUAUUGGCCAUAUCAUGUCACUAUUUGAUUGCAUGUGAUGUUUAUCAUGUUUUGCAUCUUAUUUGCUUAGAACGACGGUAGUAAGUAAGAUGAUCCCUCACUAAAAUUUCAAGAGACGUGUCCCCCCUAACUGUGCACCGUUGCGAAGGUUCGUUGUUUUGAAGCACCACGUGAUGAUCGGGUGUGAUAGAUUCUAACGUUCGAAUACAACGGGUGUUGACGAGCCUAGCAUGUACAGACAUGGCCUCGGAACACAUGCGAAACACUUAGGUUGACUUGACGAGCCUAGCAUGUACAGACAUGGCCUCGGAACACAAGAGACCGAAAGGUCGAGCAUGAGUCGUAUAGAAGAUACGAUCAACAUGGAGAUGUUCACCGAUGAUGACUAGUCCGUCUCACGUGAUGAUCGGACACGGCCUAGUUUGACUCGGAUCAUGUGUCACUUAGAUGACUAGAGGGAUGUCUAUCUGAGUGGGAGUUCAUUCAAUAAUCAGAUGAACUUCAUUAUCAUGAACAUAGUCAAAAGGUCUUUACAAAUUAUGUCAUACGCUUUAGUUCUACUGUUUAAGAUAUGUUCCUAGAGAAAAUUUAGUUGAAAGUUGAUAGUAGCAAUUAUGCGGACUGGGUCCGUAAACUGAGGAUUGUCCUCAUUGCUGCACAGAAGGCUUAUGUCCUUAAUGCACCGCUCGGUGUGCUGAACCUCAGCGUCGUUUGUAGAUGUUGCGAAACAUCUGACAUACACGUUUUGAUGACUACGUGAUAGUUCAGUGCGUAAUGCUAACAGUUUAGAAUUGUGGCACCAAAGACGUUUUUGAAACGUCGCAGAACAUAUGAGAUGUUCCGAAGAUUGAAAUUGGGAUUUUAGACUAGUGCCCACGUCAGGAGGUAUGAGACCUCUGACAAGUUUCUUGAGCCUGCAGACUAAGGGAGAAGAGCUCAAUCGUUGAGCAUGUGCUCAGAUUGUCUGAGUGCCACAAUCACUUGAAUCGAGUGGAAGUUAAUCUCCCAGAUGAGAUAGUGAUGAUUCUCCAUAGUCACUGCCACCAAGCUAGUAGAGCUUCGUGAUGAACUAUAACAUAUCAGGGAUAGACAUGAUGAUCCUUGAGCUAUUCGCGAUGUUUGACACCGCGAAAGUAGAAAUCAAGAAGGAGCAUCAAUUGUUGAUGGUUUGUAAAACCACUAGUUUCUAGAAGGGCAAGGGCAAAAGGGAUACUUCAUGAAACAGCAAAUCAUUUGCUGCUCUAGUGAAGAAACCCAAGGUUGAACCCAAACCCGAGACUAAGUGCUUCUGUAAUGAGGGGAACGGUCACUGAAGCAGUACUACCCUAGAUACUUGGUAGAUGAGAAGGCAGGCAAGGUCGACAGAAGUAUAUUGGAUAUACGUUAUAUGAAUGUGUACUUUACUAGUACUCCCAGCAGCACCAGGGUAUUAGAUACCGGUUCGGUUGCUAAGUGUUAGUAACUCGAAAUAAAAGCUGCGGAAUAAACGGAGACUAGCUAAAGGUGAGAUGACGAUAUGUGUUGGAAGUGUUUCCAAGGUUGAUGUGAUCAAGCAUCGCAUGCUCCCUCUACCAUCAAGAUUUGGUGUUUGCGUUGAGCAUAAACAUGAUUGGAUUAUGUUUAUCGCAAUACGGUUAUUCAUUUGAGGAGAAUAAUAGUUACUCUGUUUAUUUGAAUAGUACCUUCAAUGGUCUUGCACCUAAAAUGAAUCUCGAUCGCAGUGAUACACAUGUUCGUGCCAAAAGAUAUAAAAUAGUAAUGAUAGUACCACAUACUUGUGACACUGCCAUUUGAGUCAUAUUGGUAUAGAACGCAUGAAGAAGCUCCAUGUAGAUGGAUCUUUGGACUCACUCGUUUUUGAAAAGAUUGAGACAUGCGAACCAUGCCUAUUGGUAUAUAUGCAUGAAGAAACUCCAUGCAGAUGGAUCGUUUGGACUCACUUGAUUUUGGAUCACUUGGGACAUGCAAAUCAUACCACAUGAGUAAGAUGACUGAAAGGCCUCGUUUUCAGUAAGAUGGAACAAGAGAGAAACUUGUUGGAAGUAAUACAUUUGAUGUAUGCAGUCCAAUGAGUGCUGAGGCAUGCAGUGGAUAUCAUUAUGUUCUUACUUCACAGAUGAUUUGAGUAGAUGCUGAGUGUAUUUACUUGAUGAAACACAAGUCUGAAUUAUUGAAAGGUUCAAGUAAUUUCAAAGUGAAGUUGAAGAUCGUCGUGACAAGAGGAUAAAAUGUCUGUGAUAUGAUCAUAGAGAUGAGUAUCUGAGUUACGAGUUUGGCACACACAAUUAAGACAUUGUGGAAAGUGUUUCACAAUUAAUACCGCCUGGAACACCAUAGUGUGAUGGUAUGUCCGGACAUCAUAGCUGCACCCUAUUGGAUAUGGUGCAUACCAUGAUGUCUCUUAUCGAAUUACCACUAUCGUUUAUGGGUUAGGCAUUAGAGACAACCGCAUUCACUUUAAAAGGGGCACCACGCAAUUCCAUUGAGACGACACCGUUUAGAGAAACCUAAGUUGUCGUCUCUUAAAAGUUUGGGGCUGCGACGCUUAUGUGAAAAAGUUUCAGGCUGAUAAGCUCGAACCCAAAGCGGAUAAAUGCAUCUUCAUAGAAUACCCAAAACAGUUGGGUAUACCUCCUAUUUCAGAUCUGGAAGCAAAAGUGAUUAUUUCUAGAAACGGGUCCUUUCUCGAGGAAAAGUUUCUCUCGAAAGAAUUGAGUGGGAGGAUGGUGGAGACUUGAUGAGGUCAUUGAACCGUCACUUCAACUAAUGUGUAGCAGGGCACAGGAAGUUGUUCCUGUGGCACCUACACCAAUUGAAGUGGAAGCUUAUGAUAGUGAUCAUGAAACUUCGGAUCAAGUCACUACCAAACCUCGUAGGACGACGAGGAUGCGUACUACUUCAGAGUAAUGCGUGAUCCUGUCUUGGAAGUCAUGUUGCUAGACAACAAUGAACCUACGAGCUAUGGAGAAGCGAUGGUGGGCCCAUAUUCCGACAAAUGGUUAGAAGCCAUGAAAUCUGAGAUAAAUGGAUCUUUAAGAAGAAGACGAACAUGGACGGUAAUGUUACCGUCUAUGAAGCUCGACUUGUGGAAAAGAGUAUUUUCACAAGUUCAAGGAGUUGACUACGAUGAGAUUUUCUCAUCCGUAGCGAUGCUUAAGUCCGUCGGAAUCAUGUUAGCAUUAGCUGCAUUUAUGAAAUCUGGCAGAUGGAUGUCAAAACAAGUUUCCUUACCAGUUUUCGUAAGGAAAGGUUGUAUGUGAUACAAUCAGAAAGGUUUUGUCGAUCCUAAGGAUGCUAAAAUGUAUGCUAGCUCCAGCGAUCCUUCCAUGGAUUAGAGCAAGCAUCUCGGAGUCAGAAUAUACACUUUGAUGGAGUGAUCAAAGUUUUUGGGUUUAUACAAAGUUUGUUAGAAACUUGUAUUUACAAUAAAGUGAGUAGGAGCGCUACAACAUUUCUGAUAAGUAUAUGUGAAUGACAUAUUGUUGAUCCGAAAUGAUGUAAAAAAUUUCUAGAAAGCAUAAAGGGUUGUUUGAAAGGAGUUUUUCAAAGGAAGACCUGGAUAAAGCUGCUUGCAUAUUGGGCAUCAAGAUCUAUAGAGAUAGAUCAAGGCGCCUGAUGAUACUUUCAAAGAACGCACACCUUGACAUGAUUUUGAAAGAGUUCAAAAUAGAUCAGCAAAGAAGGAGUUCUUGGCCGUGUUACAAGGUGUGAGUAUUGAGUAAGACUCAAGACCUGACCACAGCAGAAGAGAGAGAAAGGACGAAGGUCGUCCCCUAUGCUUCAGACGUAGGCUCUACAGUAUGCUAUGCUGUGUACCGCACAUGGAGUGUGCCUUGCCAUGAGUUGGUCAAGGUGUACAAUAGUGAUCCGGGAAUGGAUCACAUGACAGCGGUCGAACUUAUCCUUAGUAGCUAGUGGACUAAGGAAUUUUCUCGAUUAUGGAGGUGAAAAGGAGUUCGUCGUAAAGGGUUACGUCGAUGCGAACUUUGACACUAAUCCGGAUGACUCUGAGUAGUAAACCGGAUUCGUAUAGUAGAGCAGUUAUUUGAAAUGGCUCCAAAUAGCGCGUGGUAGCAUCCACAAGAUGACAUAGAUAUUCGUAAGGCACACACAGAUCUGAAAGGUUCAGACCCGUCGACUAAUAACCUCUCUCACAAGCAUAACAUGAUCAAACCAGAACUCAUUGAGUGUUAAUCACAUAGUGAUGUGAACUAGAUUGUUGACUCUAGUAAACUCUUGGGUGUUGGUCACAUGGUGAUGUGACCUGUCAGUGUUAAUCACAUGGUGAUGUGGACUAGAUUAUUGACUCUAGUGCAAGUGGGAGACUGUUGGAAAUAUGCCCUAGAGGCAAUAAUAAAUAGGUUAUUAUUAUAUUUCCUUGUUCAUGAUAAUCGUUUAUUAUCCAUGCUAGAAUUGUAUUGAGAGGAAACUCAGAUGCAUGUGUGGAUACAUAGACAACACCAUGUCCCUAGUAAGCCUCUAGUUGACUAGCUCGUUGAUCAAUAGAUGGUUACGGUUUCCUGACCAUGGACAUUGGAUGUCGUUGAUAACGGGAUCACAUCAUUAGGAGAAUGAUGUGAUGGACAAGACCCAAUCCUAAGCCUAGCACAAGAUCGUGUAGUUCGUUUGCUAAGAGCUUUUCUAAUGUCAAGUAUCAUUUCCUUAGACCAUGAGAUUGUGCAACUCCCGGAUGCCGUAGGAAUGCUUUGGGUGUACCAAACGUCACAACGUAACUGGGUGACUAUAAAGGUGCACUACAGGUAUCUCCGAAAGUGUCUGUUGGGUUGGCACGAAUCGAGACUGGGAUUUGUCACUCCGUGUAAACGGAGAGGUAUCUCUGGGCCCACUCGGUAGGACAUCAUCAUAAUGUGCACAAUGUGAUCAAGGAGUUGAUCACGGGAUGAUGUGAGUUACGGAACGAGUAAAGAGACUUGCCGGUAACGAGAUUGAACAAGGUAUCGGGAUACCGACGAUCGAAUCUCGGGCAAGUACCAUACCGAUAGACAAAGGGAAUUGGAUACGGGAUUGAUUGAAUCCUUGACAUCGUGGUUCAUCCGAUGAGAUCAUCGAGGAGCAUGUGGGAGCCAACAUGGGUAUCCAGAUCCCGCUGUUGGUUAUUGACCGGAGAACAUCUCGGUCAUGUCUGCAUGUCUCCCGAACCCGUAGGGUCUACACACUUAAGGUUCGGUGACGCUAGGGUUAUAGUGAUAUUAGUAUGCGGUAACCCGAAAGUUGUUAGGAGUCCCGGAUGAGAUCCCGGACGUCACGAGGAGUUCCGGAAUGGUCCGGAGGUAAAGAUUUAUAUAUGGGAAGUCUUAUUUUGGUCGCCGGAAAAGUUUCGCACUUUAUCGGUAUUGUACCGGGAGUGCCGAAAGGGGUCCGGGGGUCCACCAGCCCCGGGGGGCCACAUGGGCUGUAGGGGGUGCGCCUUGGCCUAUAUGGGCCAAGGGCACCAGCCCCAAGAGGCCCAUGCGCCAAGAGAUAAGGAAAAGGGAGAGUCCUAAAGGGGGAAGGCACCUCCGAGGUGCCUUGGGGGGGAAGGACUCCUCCCUGGCCGCACCCUUCCUUGGAGGAAGGGCCAAGGCUGCGCCCCCCCUCCCUUGGCCCUAUAUAUAGUGGGGGGAAGGGAGGGCAGCAAAACCUAAGCCCUGGCGCCUCCCUCUCCCUCCCGUGACACCUCUUCCUCCCCGCUUGCGCUUGGCGAAGCCCUGCCGGGAUCCCGCUACUUCCACCACCACGCCGUCGUGCUGCUGGAUCUCCAUCAACCUCUCCUCCCCCCUUGCUGGAUCAAGAAGGAGGAGACGUCGCUGCUCCGUACGUGUGUUGAACGCGGAGGUGCCGUCCGUUCGGCGCUAGGAUCAUCGGUGAUUUGGAUCACGACGAGUACGACUCCAUCAACCCCGUUCUCUUGAACGCUUCCGCUCGCGAUCUACAAGGGUAUGUAGAUGCACUCCCCUUCCCCUCGUUGCUAGAUUACUCCAUAGAUUGAUCUUGGUGAUGCGUAGAAAAUUUUGAAUUUCUGGUACGUUCCCCAACACUCGCCGGCCGCCCUCGUCCACGACGCUGCCGUCCUCGUCGCAGCCGUCCGCCCUCGUCCCGCCGGCCACCGUCCUCGUCGCAGCCGUCCGCCCUCGUCCCCGCCGGCCACCAUCCUAGUCACCAGCCCCAACCACCGCCAGUCGUCCUUGUUGCUUUGCCCCGUGCAACAGCCACACCCCGCGGCUGAAGCUCUUGUUGAGACCGUUGUUGCUCCGGUUGCGAUGACUGGAGUUCGCCGGCAUGCUCGCCGCCGCUCAUCCCCGGUGUGCAGCUUGCAACAAAAAAUCGAGCACCGGGGGAGAUGCCCAGUGCUACAACCAACGACCAAAAAAGCUACAACUAGCGAUAGGAAAAGCUUUAACCGGCUACGAAAAAAGGUUCAACCAGUAUACGACUGAAGCUAUGGAUGACCAAGUUAAAACCGGUGACAGAAAAAGCUUCAUCUAGCGACGAAAAAAGCUUCAUCCAACUACAAAAAAAGUUUCAACCGUGGAAACGAAGCCAUGGACGAAAAAUAAAAAGUUGCAACCGACAGUUAUAAAAGUUACAACCGCAUUGAAAAAAGCUUCAAACUUCUUAUCUCAGCUGCGACCCCGCGAUGACGAUGAUGCCGUUUUGCUGCAACCGUAGUAGAUUUUUGCUACCACCGGCGAUUGAAUUUGCUACAACCGGUUCCAGCAAAAUUUCGCCGCGGGGUGUACUCCUGCCAUGGCUGGUUGCAGCUCCGGCGUGGCCGGGUCCGGCGAGGUAGGUAGAGCUCAAAUGCAUGCGGAUCCGCGCGGAUCUAGUCGAGGGCGGCCAGAUCGGCUGAUUCCCAUGAUGGCAGCGCCCCUGGGAGGCCUCCGGCGCGGGCGACGGAUUGACCAUGGCAACAGGGAGAGAGAAGAGAGAGAUGACGGAGAAGAAGAAGAGAAAAGGCAGGAGGGAGAAGACGCACGUGGGCGGCCCCCCUAUCGUACGUGUCGCUAAGCGAGUCGCUGGGCGCAUUUGCGCGUGGACGCGACUGGCCGAAGUUUCGGCCGGUGCGCCGUUGCCAAACAAUUCCCUUUACGUUUUGGGAUUUUGGGAGAUUUGCUAGAGCUGCUCUAACCAACAGAAAUAGGCGCAACUGGCCGACAUGCUGCACCUGAGUUUGGUCGGGUGGAUUUUGACCGCAGUUCCUCCAUGCCUAACUGGCCGAGGUUUCAGUUGACCGUGUGACCAAAAACAGAUGAACGACUCUGAACUGAAGAGGGCGUUGCAAGUCAGCCAUGCUCCAGGGAAAUCAACAUUGUCGUUGUAUGCGGCAACCGAGGUCCAAAUUCGUUCAACACAGAUAAACGUGACCCAUGAACACUUCACUCAAAAGAGCAACUCCCCAAAAGCAGUUGUGAAACACUCGAUGGAAGCCAAGAAUCCCCGCAUUAACGCCAAACUACGCACACAAAAGCCCAAGCAGCCUAUAAGAACUGUACAAGAGGAAUGUAUCCGGUCUGGAAUAAAAUCAAAAUCUAAAGCCCAACUUAUGUUAUGUAAUAUUCGGUGUUGAUCUGUCAAUUUUGGUUUCAGAAUUAUGUUUUGAAUUUUGACUUGAAAUUUAGUGGCAACCUAUAUUGAUGUUGUGUGAAUAUCCUAUUUUUCAGAAUUUUUUAAAAUUUUAAAAUGUGCAAGAUGAGUUUGGUGCACCGGUAUCACCACAAGCACCGGUGCACCAAAUAUUCUCCCACUGGAUAAGAAGAAUAUGUAGGGCGCGGCUAUGCACGGGAGCUAUGUCUCGCCCGUACCGACAGGUAAUAGAUCUCGUCUACAGCGUGGUGCUAUUGGGUCGGCUCAAUACUAUACUUGUCUUUUCUCUCUUUGUUUUUUCACCGUUUGGCAUCGGGUUUCUUCAGUUUUGCUUGCUUGCUUCUUUCUUUACUUUUAUUUUAUUUUAUUUUUAGCAUAUGUCUAUUUUUUACACAUAAUACAUUUCUUUAUACAUCUAGAAUAUGUUUUUGACAUCUUUAAUAUUUUCUGAAUGCAUUUUAAAUAAUUUUCUAAAAUAUGUUCUGAUGUCUAUUUUUUUCAUACCUAGUACUUUUUUGUAUAAAAUAAACUAAAUUUUAUAUAUUGUUAAGAUUUUUUAAAUACAUGAUUAAUUUUUUUUCAAAUAAGUGCUUUGGAGAUUUUUUUAAUAGGUGUUCAAGAUUUUUCUAAAUGAUACGAAACAUUUUCUUAACUAUGUGAACAUUUUUUUAUAUUGUAUAAAUAUUUUUUAAAAGUUCCACAAACAUAUAUUUGGAACGUAUGAAUAUUUUUAUGUGACGUACAUUAUUGAAUGGUAUGAAACAUAUUUGUCUAAAUCACAGAAACAUUACAUUGUGUAAUAUUUAUUUUAAAAGCCACAUGCAUUAUUUUUGGCAUGUUCAACAUGUUUGAAAUGUCACAUACAUUGUUUUUGGAUGGUACACACAUUUUCUACGAGUUGAGCGAACAUUUUCUAAACGUGCGAUGAACAAUUUUUGAAAAAUAACUAAAAUGAUUAUUUCAUAAUAGUAUAUUUACAAAAUGUAAAAAAAAAGGAAAAAGAAGUGUGCGAUGUAAACACGAUGAAACCACAUGACUACUGGUCGGCUCCCUAUAGACGACCCCGACUUCUGUCUUGUAAAGGCAAGACAUAGGUUCAUCCGAUGUUAUUUAUUGCCGAUAGCGACCCCGAGAGGGCCAUCCCAAGAAAUGUAGAUGCAUGGGACGCUGCUUUGUUCGCUCAUUUGUUUCUAUUAUUUAUUUUGUUUUAUACGUUUAAUUAUAUUCCAAAGUAUCCUAAAAAUAAAUAUUUAUAUUUGAAAAGUUUACGCCAUGUCAAAAAUACAUCCAUCCUUAGUAAAGGGAGAAGGAUGGAGGGGGCUCUCUCCCCUCCCAUCUGUUGGUGCCAGAACGUCGAAGGAGGAACUGUGUCACCACCAUUGUCUCCAACGACUUCACCAAUGUUUCCGCCAUCAUCUUCAUGCUUAGUACACGAGUUUCUCCAUCCAUGAACCUCUGUAAUCCAUUGGUAAAUAUUUAUGUCUUGUGCUAUGGAUUAUUUUCUCAUGAAUUACUGCAUCUUUAUGCCUAUGUUUGAGUAAUGAAUUGUUCCAUGAUAUCGAUGAAAUAAUAUAAUAUCUGGUUCAUUGUUGGUUUCUGUGCCAUCUUAUUUUUCUUGUGUAGGAGUGCACACGUGCAUAAGGGGGGGGGGGGAGCAUUUAAGAUGCUGCACUCUUUUAUGAUAAAUAUUCGUGCGGAGGACGGAUUGGUGCAAUUGAUUUUGUACCUUAUACCAAGAGCCAGAUGGGAAGCUUCAGGCUAGAGGUUGAACAUCCACACAUUGUGAAGGAAAUAUGCCCUAAAGGCAAUAAUAAAGUUAUUAUUUAUAUUUCCUUAUAUCAUGAUAAAUGUUUAUUAUUCAUGCUAGAAUUGUACUAACCGGAAACUUGAUACAUGUGUGAAUGCAUAGACAAAACAGAGUGUCCCUAGUAUGCCUCUACUUGACUAGCUCGUUAAUCAAACAUGGUUAGGUUUCCUGACCAUAGACAUGUGUUGUCAUUUGAUGAACGAGAUCACAUCAUUAGGAGAAUGAUGUGAUGGACAAGACCCAUCCGUUAACUUAGCAUAAUGAUUGUUAAGUUUUAUUGCUAUUGCUUUCUUCAUGACUUAUACAUAUUCCUCUGACUAUGAGAUUAUGCAACUCCCGAAUAACGGAGGAACACCUUGUGUGUGAUACGUCCAUUUUGCAUCAUGCUUUUAUAUCGAUAUUUAUUGCAUUAUGGGCUGUUAUUACACAUUAUGUCACAAUACUUAUGGCUAUUCUCUCUUAUUUACAAGGUUUACAUAAGGAGGGAGAAUGCCAGCAGCUGGAAUUCUGGGCUGGAAAAGGAGCAAAUAUUAUAAACCUAUUCUGCACAACUCCAAAAGUCCUGAAACUCCACGAAAGUUAUUUAUGGAAAUAAUAAAAAAUAUUGAGCGGAAGAAAUACGUCAGGGGGCCCACCUGGCCACGAGGGUGGGGGGCGCCCUACCCCCUGGGCGCGCCCCCUGCCUCGUGGGCCCCCUGUUGGCCCUUCGGUGGCCAUCUUCUGCUAUAUGAGGUCUUUCGUCCGAAGAAAAAUAAUAAGCAAGCUUUCGGGACGAGACUCCGCCGCCACGAGGCGGAACCUUGGCUGAACCAAUCUAGGGCUCCGACAGAGCUGUUCUGCCAGGGACACUUCCCUCCGGGAGGGGGAAAUCAUCGCCAUCGUCAUCACCAACGCUCCUCUCAUCGGGAGAGGGCAAUCUCCAUCAACAUCUUCACCAGCACCAUCUCCUCUCAAACCCUAUUUCAUCUCUUGUAUCCAAUUCUUGUCUCUAAGUCUGGGAUUGGUACCUGUAGGUUGCUAGUAGUGUUGAUUACACCUUGUAGUUGAUGCUAGUUGGUUUAUUUGGUGGAAGAUCAUAUGUUCAGAUCCUAUAUGCAUAUUAAUACUCCUAUGAUUAUGAACAUGAAUAUGUUUUGUGAGUAGUUACGUUUGUUCCUGAGGACAUGGGAGAAGUCUUGCUAUUAGUAGUCAUGUGAAUUUGGUAUUCGUUCGAUAUUUUGAUGAGAUGUAUGUUGUCUAUCCUCUAGUGGUGUUAUGUGAACGUCGACUACAUAACACUUCACCAUUAUUUGGGCCUAGAGGAAGGCAUUGGGAAGUAAUAGGUAGAUGAUGGGUUGCUAGAGUGACAGAGCCUAAACCUUAGUUUAUGCGUUGCUUCGUAAGGGGCUGAUUUGGAUCCAUAUGUUUCAUGCUAUGGUUAGGUUUACCUUAAUACUUUUGUUGUAGUUGCGAAUGCUUGCAAUAGAGGUUAAUCAUAAGUGGGAUGCUUGUUCAAGUAAGAACAGCACCCAAGCACCGGUCCACCCACAUAUCAAAUUAUCAAAGUACCGAACGCGAAUCAUAUGAACGUGAUGAAAACUAGCUUGACGAUAAUUCCCAUGUGUCCUCGGGAGCGCUUUUCUCUAUAUAAGAGUUUGUCCAGGCUUGUCCUUUGCUACAAAAAGGAUUGGGCCACCUUGCUGCACUUUAUUUACUUUUGUUACUUGUUGCUCGUUACAAAUUAUCCUAUCACAAAACUAUCUGUUACCUAUUAUUUCAGUGCUUGCAGAGAAUACCUUGCUGAAAACCGCUUAUCAUUUCCUUCUGCUCCUCGUUGGGUUCGACACUCUUACUUAUCGAAAGGACUACAAUAGAUCCCCUAUACUUGUGGGUCAUCAGUGUGCUAUCAAACGUCACAACGUAACUGGGUGAUUAUAAAGAUGCUCUAGAGGUGUCUCCAAAGGUGUUUGUUGGGUUGGCAUAGAUCGAGAUUAGGAUUUGUCACUCCGAGUAUUGGAGAGGUAUCUCUGGGCCCUCUCGGCAAUGCACAUCAUGAUAAGCCUUGCAAGCAAUGUGACUAAUGAUUUAGUUACAAGAUGAUGCAUUACAGAACGAGUAAAGAGACUUGCCGGUAUUGAGAUUGAACUAGGUAUGAGGAUACCGACGAUCGAAUCUCGGGCAAGUAACAUACCGAUGACAAAGGGAAUAACGUAUGUUGUCAUUGCGGUCUGACCGAUAAAGAUCUUCGUAGAAUAUGUAGGAACCAACAUGAGCAUCCAGGUUCCGCUGUUAUUUAUUGACCGAAGAUGUGUCUCGGUCAUGUCUACAUAGUUCUCGAACCCGUAGGGUCCGCACGCUUAACGCUCGAUGAUGAUUUGUAUUAUGAGUUAUGCGUUUUGGUGACCGAAGAUUGUUUGGGUCCCGGAUGAGAUCACGGACAUGACGAGGAGUCUCGAAAUGGUCAAGAGGUAAAGAUUGAUAUAUUGGAAGAUGGUAUUCAGACACCAGAAUGGUUUCGGAGUGGUUCGGGUAUUUUUCGGAGUACCGAGGGGUUACCGGAACCCCCCGGGGAAGUAUUGGGCCUACAUGGGCCAUAGGGGAGAGGGGAGGCAUCCCACAAGGGGUGGCCGCACCCCCCCCAUGGGGAGUCCGAAUUGGACUAGAGGAGGGGGCGCGCCCCCCUUUCCUUCUCCUCUUCCCUCUCCCUUCCCCUUUCCCCCUCCGUAAGAAAGGAAGGGGGCCGAAUAGGACUUGGAGUCCUAUUCUGUUUCCCCCUAUGGCACGCCCCUCUAGGCCGGCGACCUCCUCCCCUCCUCCUUUAUAUACGGGGGUAGGGGGGCACCCCACAGCACAUCAAUUGUUCUUACCCGUGUGCGGUGCCCCCCUCCACAGUUUACUCCUCCGGCCAUAGCGUCGUAGUGCUUAGGCGAAGCCCUGCGGGGAUCACAUCACCAUCACCGUCACCACGCCAUCGUGCUGACGAAACUCUCCCUCAACCCUCUUCUGGAUCAAGAGUUCGAGGGACAUCAUCGAGCUGAACGUGUGCUGAACUCAGAGGUGUCGUACGUUCGGUACAUGAUCGGUUGGAUCGCGAAGACAUUCGACUACAUCAACCGUGUUAAACUAACGCUUCCGCUUUCAGUCUACGAGGGUACAUGGACACACUCUCCCCAUCUCGUUGCUACGCAUCUCUUAGAUAGAUCUUGCAUGAUCGUAUGAUUUUUUUUGAAAUUGCAUGCUACGUUCCCCAACAGUGGCAUCCGAGCCAGGUCUAUGCGUAGAUGAUAUGCACGAGUAAAACAGAAAGAGUUGCGUGCGAUAAUAGUCAUACUGCUUACCACCAACGUCUUAUUUUGAUUCGGCGGUAUUGUUGGAUGAAGCGGCCUGGACCAACCUUACAUGAUCAUGUUCAUGAGACCGGUUCCACCAACCGACAUGCAACUUGUUUUGCAUAAAGGUGAUGGCGGUUGUCUGUUUCUCCUACUUUACUUGAAUCGAAUUUGAAUACGGCCGGUCCUUGUUGAAGGUUAAAACAGCACACUUGACAAAAAAUCGUUAUGGUUUUGAUACGUAGGUAAGAACGUUUCUUGCUAGAAGCCCGUAGCAGCCACGUAAAACUUGCAACAACAAAGUAGAGGACGUCUAACUUGUUUUUGCAGGGCUUGUUGUGACGUGAUAUGGUCAAGAAAUGAUGUGAUAUACGUUAUUGUAUGAGACGAUCAUGUUUUGUAAAAGUUAUCGGCAACUGGCAGGAGCCUUAUGGUUGUCGCUUUAUUGUAUGAAAUGCAAUCGCCAUGUAAUUGCUUUACUUUAUCUCUAUGCGGUAGCGAUAGUUGUAGAAGCAAUAGUUGGCGAGACGACAAUGACGCUACGAUGGAGAUCAAGGUGUCAAGCCGGUGAAGAUGGAGAUCAUGACAGUGCUUUGGAGAUGGAGAUCAAAGGUACAAGAUGAUGAUGGCCAUAUCAUGUCACAUAUUUUUGAUUGCAUGUGAUGUUUAUCUUUUAUGCAUCUUAUUUUGCUUAGUACGGCAGUAGCAUUAUAAGACGAUCCCUCACUAAAUUUCAAGGUAUAAGUGUUCUCCCUGAGUAUGCACCGUUGCGGCAGUUCGUCGUGCCGAGAUACCACAUGAUAAUCGGGUGUGAUAAGCUCUACGUUCAGAUACAAUGGGUGCAAGACAGUUUUGCACAUGCAGAAUACUUGGGUUAAAUUUGACGUGCCUAGCAUGUACAGACAUGUCCUCGGAACACUGAGACCAAAAGGUCGAACGUGAAUCAUAUAGUAGAUAUGAUCAACAUAGAGAUGUUCACCAUUGAAAACUACUCCAUCUCACGUGAUGAUCAGACAUGGUUUAGUUGAUAUGGAUCACGUGAUCAUUUAGAUGACUAGAGGGAUGUCUAUCUAAGUGGGAGUUCUUUAGUAAUAUGAUUAAUUGAACUUAAUUUAUCAUGAACUUAGUCCUGAUAGUUUUUGCAUAUCAAUGUUGUUGUAGAUCAAUGGUCCGUGCUACCGUUCCCUUGAAUUUUAAUGCGUUCCUAGAGAAAGCUAAGUUGAAAGAUGAUGGUAGCAACUACACGGACUGGGUCCGUAACUUGAGGAUUAUCCUCAUUGCUGCACAGAAGAAUUAUAUCCUUGAAGCACCGCUAGGUGCAAGACCUGCUGCAGGAGCAACUCCGGACGUUAUGAACGUCUAGCAAGCUAAAUCUGAUGACUACUCGAUAGUUCAAUGCGCCAUGCUUUACGGCUUAGAAUCGGGACUUCAAAGACGUUUUGAACGUCAUGGAGCGUAUGAGAUGUUCCGGGAGUUGAAGUUAAUAUUUCAAGCAAAUGCCCGAGUUGAGAGAUAUAAAGUCUCCAACAAGUUCUAUAGCUGCAAGAUGGAGGAGAACAGUUCUAUCAGUGAACAUAUACUCAAAAUGUCUGGGUAUCAUAAUCACUUGACUCAGCUGGGAGUUAAUCUUCCAGAUGAUAGUGUCAUUGACAUAGUUCUUCAAUCAUUGCCACCAAGCUAUAAAGGCCUCGUGAUGAACUAUAAUAUGCAAGGGAUGGAAAAGACAAUUUCCGAGCUCUUCGCAAUGCUUAAGGAUGCGGAGGUAGAAAUCAAGAAGGAGCAUCAAGUGUUGAUGGUUAACAAGACCACUAGUUUCAAGAAAAAGGGCAAAGGUAAGAAGGGGAACUUCAAGAAGAAUAGCAAGCAAGUUGCUGCUCCCGGGAAGAAGCCCAAGUCUGGAUCUAAGCCUGAAACUGAGUUCUUCUACUGCAAAGGGACUAGUCACUGGAUCCGGAACUGCCCCAAGUAUUUGGCGGAUAAGAAGGAUGGCAAAGUGAAAGGUAUAUUUGAUAUACACUUUAUUGAUGUGUACCUUACUAAUGCUCGUAGUAGCGCCUGGGUAUUGAUACUGGUUCUGUUGCUCAUAUUUGCAACUCGAAACAGGGGCAACGGAUUAAACAAAGAUUGGCUAAGGACGAGGUGAUGAUGCGCGUCAGAAAUGGUUCCAAGGUCGAUGUGAUCGUCGUCGGCACACUACCUCUACAUCUACCUUCGGGAUUAGCUUUAGACCUGAAUAAUUGUUAUUUGGUGCCAGCAUUGAGCAUGAACAUUAUAUCUGGAUCUUGUUUGAUGUGAAACGGUUAUUCAUUUAAAUCAGAGAAUAAUGGUUGUUCUAUUUAUAUGAGUAAUAUCUUUUAUGGUCAUGCACCCUUGAUGAGUGGUCUAUUUUUGUUUAAUCUCGAUCGUAGUGAUACACAUAUUCAUAAUAUUGAUGCCAAAAUAUGCAAAGUUAAUAAUGAUAGUGCAACUUAUUUGUGGCACUGCCGUUUAGGUCAUAUUGGUGUAAAGCGCAUGAAGAAACUCCAUGCUAAUGGGCUUUUGGAAUCACUUGAUGCUUGCGAACCAUGCCUCAUGGGCAAGAUGACUAAGACUCCGUUCUCCGGAACAAUGGAGCGAGCCACUGACUUAUUGGAAAUAAUACAUACUAAUCCGAUGAGUGUUGAGGCUCGCGGCAGGUAUCGUUAUUUUCUGACCUUCACAGAUGAUUUGAGCAGAUAUGGGUAUAUCUACUUAAUGAAACAUAAGUCUGAAAUAUUUGAAAAGGUCAAAGAAUUCCAGAGUGAAGUAGAAAAUCAUUGUAACAAGAAAAUAAAGUUUCUGCAAUCUGACCGCGGAGGCGAAUAUUUGAGUUACGAGUUUGGUCUUCAUUUAAAACAAUGUGGAAUAGUUUCGCAACUCACGCCACUUGGAACACCAUAGUGUAAUGGUGUGUCCGAACGUCGUAACCGUACUUUAUUAGAUAUGGUGCGAUCUAUGAUGUCUCUUACCGAUUUACCACUAUCGUUUUGGGGUUAUGCUUUAGAGACAGCUGCAUUCACGUUAAAUAGGGCACCAUCUAAGUCCGUUGAGACGACACCAUAUGAACUGUGGUUUGGCAAGAAACCUAAGUUGUCGUUUCUUAAAGUUUGGGGUUGCGAUGUUUAUGUGAAAAAGCUUCGGCCUGAUAAGCUCGAACCCAAAUCAGAGAAAUGUGUCUUCAUAGGAUACCCAAAAUAAACUGUUGGGUACACCUUCUAUCACAGAUCCGAAGGCAAAAUACUUGUUGCUAAGAAUGGAUCCUUUCUAGAGAAGGAGUUUCUCUCGAAAGAAGUGAGCGGGAGGAAAGUAGAACUUGAUGUGGUAGUUGUACCUUCUCUCGAAUUGGAAAGUGGUUCAUCACAGAAAUCAGUUCCAGUGAUGCCUACACCAAUUAGUGAGGAAGUUAAUGGUGAUGAUCAUGAAAUUUCAGAUCAAGUUACUACCGAUCCUCGUAGGUCAACCAGAGUACGUUCUGCACUAGAGUGGUACGGAAAUCCUGUUCUGGAAGUUAUGUUACUAGACCAUGACGAACCUAUGAACAAUGAGGAAGCGAUGAUGAGCCCAGAUUCCGCGAAAUGGCUUGAGGCCAUGAAAUCUGAGAUGGGAUCCAUGUAUGAGAACAAAGUAUGGACUUUGGUUGACUUGCCCGAUGAUCGGCAAGCCAUACUAAAUAAAUGGAUCUUCAAGAAGAAGACUGACGCUGACGGUAAUGUUACUGUCUACAAAGCUCGGCUUGUUGCGAAAGGUUUUCGACAAGUUCAAGGAGUUGACUACGAUGAGACCUUCUCACCCGUAGUGAUGCUUAAGUCUGUCCGAAUCAUGUUAGCAAUUGCCGUAUUUUAUGAUUAUGAAAUUUGGCAAAUGGAUGUCAAAACUGCAUUCCUUAAUGGAUUUCUUAAAGAAGAGUUGUAUAUGAUGCAACCAGAAGGUUUUGUCGAUCCUAAAGGUGCUAACAAAGUGUGCAAGCUCCAGCGAUCCAUUUAUGGAUUGGAGCAAGCCUCUCGGAGUUGGAAUAUUUGAUAGUGUGAUCAAAGCAUAUGGUUUUAUACAGACUUUUGGAGAAGCCUGUAUUUACAAGAAAGUGAGUGGGAGCUCUGUAGCAUUUCUAAUAUUAUAUGUGGAUGACAUAUUGUUGAUUAGAAAUGAUAUAGAAUUUCUGGAUAGCAUAAAAGGAUACUUGAAUAAGAAUUUUUCAAUGAAAGACCUCGGUGAAGCUGCUUAUAUUUUGGGCAUCAAGAUCUAUAGAGAUAGAUAAAGAUGCUUAAUUGGAGUUCACAAAGCACGUACCUUGAUAGAGUUUUGAAGAAGUUCAAAAUGGAUCAAUCAAAGAAAGGGUUCUUGCCUGUGUUACAAGGUGUGAAGUUGAGUCAGACUCAAUGCCCGACCACUGCAGAAGAUAGAGAGAAAAUGAAAGAUGUUCCCUAUGCCUCAGCCAUAGGUUCUAUCAUGUAUGCAAUGUUGUGUACCAGACCUGAUGUGUGCCUUGCUAUAAGUUUAGCAGAGAGGUACCAAAGUAAUCCAGGAGUGGAUCACUGGACAACAGUCAAGAACAUCCUGAAAUACCUGAAGAGGACUAAGGAUAUGUUUCUUUUUUAUGGGGGUGACAAAGAGCUCGUCAUAAAUGGUUACAUCGAUGGUAGCUUUGACACUGAUCUGGACAACUCUAAGUCGCAAACCGGAUACGUAUUUAUAUUGAAUGGUGGAGCUGUCAGUUGGUGCAGUUCCAAGCAGAGCGUCAUGGCGGGAUCUACAUGUGAAGCUGAGUACAUAGCUGCUUCGGAAGCAGCAAAUGAAGGAGUCUGGAUGAAGGAGUUCAUAUCCGAUCUAGGUGUAAUACCUAGUGCAUCGGGUCCAAUGAAAAUCUUUUGUGACAAUACUGGAGCAAUUGCCUUAGUAAAGGAAUCUAGAUUUCACAAGAGAACCAAACACAUCAAGAGACGCUUCAACUCCAUCCGCGAUCAAGUCAAGGAGGGAGACAUAGAGAUUUGCAAAAUACAUACGUAUCUGAAUGUUGUAGACUCGUUGACUAAGCCUCUUCCAUGAGCAAAACAUGAUCAGCACCAAGACUCCAUGGGUGUUAGAAUCAUUACAAUGUAAUCUAGAUUAUUGACUCUAGUGUAAGUGGGAGACUGAAGGAAAUAUGCCCUAGAGGCAAUAAUAAAGUUGUUAUUUAUAUUUCCUUAUAUCAUGAUAAAUGUUUAUUAUUCAUGCUAGAAUUGUAUUAACCGGAAACUUGAUACAUGUGUGAACACAUAGACAAAACAGAGUGUCCCUAGUAUGCCUCUACUUGACUAGCUCGUUAAUCAAAGAUGGUUAAGUUUCCUGACCAUAGACAUGUGUUAUCAUUUGAUGAACGAGAUCACAUCAUUAGGAGAAUGAUGUGAUGGACAAGACCCAUCUGUUAGCUUAGCAUAAUGAUCGUUAAGUUUUAUUGCUAUUGCUUUCUUCAUGACUUAUACAUAUUCCUGUGACUAUGAGAUUAUGCAACUCGCGAAUACCGGAGGCGAUUCCAUAGAAAGACAUCACGACCCCCUACGGAAAAAAAAGAAUUUGAGUGGACCCUUUUUUUUUCUUUUUUUUAGAAAUCCUAAUUAUGAACACCUUGUGUUCUAUCAAACGUUACAACGUAACUGGGUGAUUAUAAAGAUGCUCUACAGGUGUCUCCGAAGGUGUUUGUUGGGUUGGCAUAGAUCAAGAUUAGGAUUUAUCACUCCGAGUAUCGGAGAGGUAUCUCUGGGCCCUCUAGGUAAUGCACAUCACUAUAAGCCUUGCAAGCAAUGCAACUAAUGAGUUAGUUACGGGAUGAUGCAUUUCAGAAUGAGUAAAGAGACUUGCCGGUAACGAGAUUGAACUAGGUAUGAGGAUACCGACGAUUGAAUCUCGGGCAAGUAACAUACCGAUGACAAAGGGAAUAACAUAUGUUGUCAUUGCGGUUUGACCGAUAAAGAUCUUUGUAUAAUAUGUAGGAACUAAUAUGAGCAUCCAGGUUCUGCUGUUGGUUAUUGACCGAAGAUGUGUCUCGGUCAUGUCUACAUAGUUCUUGAACCCGUAAGGUCUGCAGGCUUAAUAUUCGAUGAUGAUUUGUAUUAUGAGUUAUGUGUUUUGGUGACCGAAGAUUGUUCGGAGUCCCGGAUGAGAUCAUGGACAUGACGAGGAGUCUCGAAAUGGUCGAGAGGUAAAGAUUGAUAUAUUCGAAGAUGGUUUUCGGAAACCGGAAUGGUUUCGGAGUGGUUCGGGUAUUUUUCGGAGUACCGAGGGGUUACCGGAACCCCCCGGGGAAGUAUUGGGCCUACAUGGGCCAUAGGGGAGAGGGGAGGCAGCCCUUAAGGGGUGGCCACGCCCCCCUCCCAUGGGGAGUCCGAAUUGGACUAGGGGAGGGGGCGCGCCUGAAAGGAUCGAGANNNNNNNNNNNNNNNNNNNNNNNNNNNNNNNNNNNNNNNNNNNNNNNNNNNNNNNNNNNNNNNNNNNNNNNNNNNNNNNNNNNNNNNNNNNNNNNNNNNNNNNNNNNNNNNNNNNNNNNNNNNNNNNNNNNNNNNNNNNNNNNNNNNNNNNNNNNNNNNNNNNNNNNNNNNNNNNNNNNNNNNNNNNNNNNNNNNNNNNNNNNNNNNNNNNNNNNNNNNNNNNNNNNNNNNNNNNNNNNNNNNNNNNNNNNNNNNNNNNNNNGACCCUUAGCAAGAAAAGUGGCAGUUUUUAAUUUCUUUAAGUUGAAGUGGAGUUUUAGCACAUGUUUAAACAUUCACAAUACAUAUCAAGCAAGCAUGAUAAGAGUAUAUGAGCAGCGAAAAGUAAAGCAUGCAAAUUGCAAGAAUGUAAAGGGAUGGGAUUGGAGUGUACAAACGCAAUUGGAGACUCGGAGAUUUUUUAUCCGUGGUUCCGAUAGGUGGUGCUAUCGUACAUCCACAUUGAUGGAGACUUCAACCCACGAAGUGUAACGGUUGCGCGAGUCCACGGAGGGCUCCACCCACGAAGGGUCCACGAAGAAGCAACCUUGUCUAUCCCACCAUGGCCGUCGCCCACGAAGGACUUGCCUCACUAGGGUAGAUCUUCACGAAGUAGGCGAUCUCCUUGCCCUUACAAACUCCUUGGUUCAACUCCACAAUCUUGACGGAGGCUCCCAAGUGACACCUAACCAAUCUAGGAGACACCACUCUCCAAAAGGUAAUAGAUGGUGUGUUGAUGAUGAACUCUUUGCUCUUGUGCUUCAAAUGAUAGUCUCCCCAACACUCAACUCUCUCUCAUAGGAUUGGAUUUGGUGGAAAGAUGAUUUGAGUGGAAAGCAACUUGGGGAAGGCUAGAGAUCAAGAUUUAUGUGGUUGGAAUGGAAUAUCGUGAGCUCAGCACAAGUGGAGGUGGUUCUCUCUCAGAAAAUGUAUGUUGGAAGCAAGGUUGGAAAAAGCGGUAGGCGUAAGCGAGGCGGCUGGCCUUCGCCUAGUGCCUAGGCGGUGCUUAAGCGCCCUAGGCGCAGCCUAGGCGGUAAUAUAGAUUCUACUAUCAGGGUGUAUUUGUGGUUAUUAUAUGUGUACUAAUGUUAAUUUAGGGCAGAUAAAUAAGCUAACUACCAACUACUAACAUUUGAAUAUGUGAUGUUUGGCAUUUCAGUGCAAUAUGGCAUGAUUUCUCGCUUGGGUAAACAAUUUGUUGCAUGCACUGCCUAGACUACCAUUUAUGCCCUAGGCGAGGCGUUUGGCCAUUGCCUAGCGCCUAGGCGUGCCUAAGCGCCUCCUAGGCACUGCCUUUUGCAACAAAGGUUGGAAGUGUAGGCAUGUUCUGAUGGCUCUCUCCACGAAUGAAGACUGGGUGGAGGGGUACAUAUAGCCUCCACACAAAAUCUAACCGUUACACACAAAUCACCAAACUCGGUGGGACCGAAUCAAAAAACUCGGUCGGACCGAUUUGGUUCAUAAUGUGAUCGUAAGGAUUUUCGGUGGGACCGACAUGAUCAACUCGGUGGGACCGAUUUCAUUAGGGUUAGGGCAUAACGUAAUCUCGGUGAGACCGAUUACACAAGCUCGGUGGGACCGAUUUUGGUAAUAAGCUAACCAGAGAGUUGGUCAGGCAAACUCGGUGGGACCGAUUCGCUCAUCUUGGUUGGACUGAAACGUUACGAAAGGGAGACAGAGAGUUUGCAUUGCGAACUCGGUGGGACCGAUCGCAUAUCUCGGUGAGACCGAGAUUAUUGCAAUAGGCAACAAAGAGUUUGCAAUCCCAUCUCGGUGAUACCGAGAUCCCUAUCGGUGAGACCGAAUUGAUUAGGGUUUCUGGCAGUGGCUAUGUCAAGAGAACUCGGUGGCGCCGGAUAGAAAGUUUCGGUGGGGCCGAGUUUGACUUUUGGUUUGGGACAUAUGUGGAUGUGGGAAAAUGGUUGAGGGAUUUGGAGCAUAUCACUAAGCACUUUGAGCAAGCAAGCCAUUAAGCAACACCUCAUCCCCUCUUAAUAGUAUGGUCUUUCCUAUGGACUCAAUGUGAUCUUGGAUCACUAAAAAGAACAAUGUAGAGUCCUGAGCUUUGAGCUUGAGCCAAUCCUUUGUCCUUAUGAUCUCGAAGGGGUUCCACAUCCUCUAGUCCAUGCCACUCCAUUGUUGAACUUAUCUGAAGCAUACUAAAUGAAAUCAUUAGUCCAACAAGAGAUAUGUUGACAUUAAUUACCAAAAUCACCCAGGGAGCACUUGUGCUUUCAAUCUCCCCUUUUUGGUAAUUGAUGACAACAUACAUCAAAGCUUUAGAUAAAGAUAUAGAGAAUAACAAGUAAAGCUUUGGAAAGACAUGUAACAUGCAUAGGCCCCCCCUACAUGUAUGAAAUCUUGUAAAUAUGGAAUAUAGGAGCAUGUGAAUGCAUAAGCAUGACAGAGUAAGCAAUGUGUUACAUGUAUCUUGGCUAUAUGCAUCAGAGCAAAUGAUGUGAGUAUAGGAAAUGUACCUUCAUGCUCAUGAGUCCUUCUUGCAAACAGUAUGUACAUCAGCAAGAAAUCCUCAUGCACAUGACUGUGAUGCAUAUACUUACCUUGUGGUCUUGAGUUGGCUUAGGAAGGAAUGAACCUGAGUAAACAAGGUUAGAUAACACAGAUACAUCUACUAGCCAGAGCAAACAAAAGAAACCACAAGAGUACCAAGAUUGGGAUGACAUGUAGAGAGUGAGUAUUAGGUACUCUAUUGGAUAUAGACAUGUCCCCAAAGGUAAGGAUAUGCAAUGAAUUCAAAGAUUUCCUUCCCUUAGAUGUCUUGCUCCCCCUGAAUCUUGCAUGGGAUACUGGGAGAAGAUAGGGAACAGAAAUAAGAGCAAAUGCAACAACCAAAUAUGAACAUGUCUUGAAGGAAAUAUGCCCUAGAGGCAAUAAUAAAGUUAUUAUUUAUUUCCUUAUAUCAUGAUAAAUGUUUAUUAUUCAUGCUAGAAUUGUAUUAACCGAAAAGAUGAUACAUGUGUGAAUACAUAGACAAACAGAGUGUCACUAGUAUGCCUCUACUUGACUAGCUGGUUGAUCAAAGAUGGUUAUGUUUCCUAGCCAUAGACAAAGAGUUGUCAUUUGAUUAACGGGAUCACAUCAUUAGGAGAAUGAUGUGAUUGACUUGACCCAUUCUGUUAGCUUAGCACUUGAUCGUUUAGUAUGUUGCUAUUGCUUUCUUCAUGACUUAUACAUGUUCCUAUGACUAUGAGAUUAUGCAACUCCCGUUUACCGGAGGAACACUUUGUGUGCUACAAAACGUCACAACGUAACUGGGUGAUUAUAAAGGUGCUCUACAGGUGUCUCCGAAGGUACUUGUUGGGUUGGCGUAUUUCGAGAUUAGGAUUUGUCACUCCGAUUGUCGGAGAGGUAUCUCUGGGCCCACUCGGUAAUGCACAUCACUAUAAGCCUUGCAAGCAUUGCAACUAAUGAGUUAGUUGCGUGAUGAUGUAUUACAGAACGAGUAAAGAGACUUGCCGGUAACGGGAUUGAACUAGGUAUUGAGAUACCGACGAUCGAAUCUCGGGCAAGUAACAUACCGAUGACAAAGGGAACAACGUAUGUUGUUAUGCGGUCUGACCGAUAAAGAUCUUCGUAGAAUAUGUAGGAGCCAAUAUGGGCAUCCAGGUCCCGCUAUUGGUUAUUGACCAGAGAGGUGUCUCGGUCAUGUCUACAUAGUUCUCGAACCCGUAGGGUCCGCACGCUUAAACGUUUGUUGACGAUAUAGUAUUAUAUGAGUUAUGUAUGUUGGUGACUGAAUGUUGUUAGGAGUCCCGGAUGAGAUCACGGACAUGACGAGGAGCUCCGGAAUGGUCCGGAGGUAAAGAUUCAUAUAUUGGAUGAUAUGGUUAGGCCAAGGGGUCAGGCCCACGGGGCUAUAAGUCGGUGCAAAAGGAGUUUUGUGGAGGCCAGGGGGCCAAACGCCGGAGACCCUGGCGUCUGGCCCUGAGCCAGACGCCGAGGCCCAUGGCGUCUGGGCCAGACGCCAAGGAUUGUGGCGUUUGGUCCUGGAGUCCAAGUGGGGCUCUUGCCUUUCGGGCAAAACCAACUUUGAGGAGGCUUUUGCUCCAAGUUUCGACCCCAGGGCUCAACAUAUAAAUAGAGGGGCAGGGCUAGCACCAAAGACACAUCAAGAAACACCAAGCCGUGUGCCGGCAACCCCGUCUCCUCUAGUUUAUCCUCCGUCAUAGUUUUUGUAGUGCUUAGGCGAAGCCCCGCGAAGAUUGUUCUUCACCAACACCGUCACCACGCCGUCGUGCUGCCGGAACUCAUCUACUACUUCGCCCCUCUUGCUGGAUCGAGAAGGCGAGGAUGUCACCGAGCCGAACGUGUGCAGAACUCGGAGGUGCCGUGCGUUCGGUACUUGGAUCGUCGGAUCAUGAAGACGUACGACUACAUCAACCGCGUUGAUAAACGCUUCCGCUUACGGUCUACGAGGGUACGUAGACAACGCUCUCCUCUCUUGUUGCUAUGCAUCACCAUGAUCUUGCGUGUGCGUAGGAAUUUUUUUGAAAUUACUACAUUCCCCAACAUGUCUUUCCCCUCUUGAAGACAUGUUUCUCUCUCCUCUUGAACACCAAGCAUCUGGGGCUAAAUGUGAUUCCUCUUUCCCCCUGUUGCAGAACUCUCUCCCCCUGUUAAAGUGAUUAAGCUUUGAUGUGAUCUCUCUCUCUCCCCCUUUGACAUCAAUUUCCAAGAAAGGAUCUUCUAGAGUGAGAGUCAAAAUAGGUUUGGUCCUUGAGACACAGAGCAAAGCAGCAUAGAGAAUAUGAUGCUGGUAGAGGACAAGAAUCAUCGAGUGGAGCUGGAGCAAAAAUGCAGGAUCAAGUGGCAAGUUGUCUUUUCUGCAGUGAAAUCGGUGGCACCGAGUUGUGUGCUUCGGUUGCACCGAAAGGAUUCGGUUGGACCAAAAGCAACAGACCGGUGUGACCGAGUUCAUCACAUAGAAAACACUUGUCACCUCAGCUCACUAGGCAGGUAAAAUCUCACAAGGAUUUGCAAUGAAUUGGAUGCAGGGAAUGCAGAACAAAAAUAAAAAGAAAGAAAGUCUAGAUGAAGUUUGUUUUUGAAAGGGGAAACAAAUAUGCAUGAGACAAAUGCAAGAGCACGGAGAAACACAAGAGAACUUCAUCUAGAAUUGGUCGGCGACAAAGUCACCUAUGUUAGAGUAUAUUGACUUAGGAGUCAAGUGAGGGCACUUGAUCAUAGGUCAUACUCAUCGUUUAAGCUCAAAAUGGGGUUACCAUUUUUCGUUCAAGCAUCUUGAUGUAUUCACAUCUUGUUGAGUUGCUUUGACCCAUGACUUGGAGUAAAGCUUCUCCAAGAUGGAAUAACAUACCUCGGGUGGUGGUGUUGAUCUUGAUCAUGUAGUUGAACUUGUGUGGGUUGCUCAAGGUUGAUGUAGCUCAUCAAGAGUUGGGAGCACCACUUGGAAUUUGAGUUCAUCUACCUACAUGGGUUAGUUUUGCAAGGAAGAGCACUUGUGUAUCCAAAAUGACAAUCAUAAAACUUAAUAUAGAUUUUGUCAAAGGAUAUGUUUGAAGAGUUUCAUGCUUCCUUGUUUUCAACCACCAUUGUGUAGAGACUUGGUGAUGUAGAGAUUGCUCAAGAUGUGAGUGAGUUGCAAUCUCAUGGAUUUAGAUUCAUCCAAGUACCUACAAGGGUUAGAUAGCAUGCAAGGGUGCAAGUAUAUCCAAGACAUAUAAAUAGCAUCAUGAAAGAAAUAUCAAGGAUUAGUCAAAGGCUCAUGCCUUGCAUGUAUCCAAAUGGAGUUCCUACUCCAAGUUUGAAGCAUCAAUGAUGUUCAAUUCUCCUCUCAAACGGCAAAAAACUUUCUCAUCAAGCGGUUUGGUGAAUAUAUCCGCCAAUUGCUUAUCGGUACGAACAUGCUUAAGAUCAGUGUCCCCUUUAGCAACAUGAUCUCGAAUGAAAUGAUGACGAACUCCGAUAUGCCUUGUUCGAGAAUGUUGCACGGGAUUGUGAGCAAUCUUAAUAGCACUCUCAUUGUCACAAAGCAAUGGAACAUGUUUCACAUAUAUCCCAUAAUCUUUAAGAGUUUGGGUCAUCCAAAGUAAUUGUGCACAACAUGAACCAGCGACAAUGUAUUCCGCUUCGGCGGUGGAUAAGGAUACCGAGUUUUGUUUCUUGGAGGACCAAGACACAAGAGAUCUACCAAGAAAUUGACAAGUACCCGAAGUGGACUUUCUAUCAACCUUGUAUCCAGCAUAGUCCGAAUCGGAGUAGCCGACAAGAUCGAAAGAAGACCUCUUAGGAUACCAAAUGCCAAAAUUUGGUGUAUGUAUUAAGUAUCUCACUAUCCUUUUCACAGCCUUAAGAUGACAUUCUUUAGGGGCCACUUGAUAUCGUGCACACAUGCACACACUUAGCAUAAUAUCGGGACGAGAGGCACAUAGAUAUAACAAUGAACCAAUCAUAGAGCGGUAAACUUUUUGAUCAACCGGUUCACCAUCUUUGGUCAAAUCAAGAUGUCCACUAGUAGGCAUGGGUGUAUUCAUACCUUUGCAUUCUUGCAUAUUGAACUUCUUGAAGAAGUCCUUGGUGUACUUUGUUUGAGAAACAAAGGUACGUUACUUAGUUUGCUUGAUUUGCAAACCAAGAAAGAAUUUAAGUUCACUCAGCAUAGACAUCUCGUACUUCUCCGACAUUAGCUUUCCAAACUUCUCACUAAAAUGAGGGUUAGUCGAACCAAAUAUAAUAUCAUCAACAUAAAUUUGGCACACAAAUAGUUCUCCAUUAACCCUUUUAGUAAAAAGAGUAGAAUCUAUUUUUCCAAUUUCAAAGCCUUUUUCAAUAAGGAACUUGGUCAAGCAUUUAUACCACGCUCUAGGAGCUUGUUUGAGACCAUAAAGAGCUUUGUGAAGUUUGUAAACAUGAUUAGGUUUCUUAGGAUUGACAAAGCUGGGAGGUUGCUUAACAUAAACUUCCUCCUCAAUCUCACCAUUUAGAAAAGCACUUUUAAUGUCCAUUUGGUACAAGGUGAUAUCAUGGUGAUUAGCAUAAGCAAGUAAGAUGCGAAUGGACUCAAGUCUAGCAACGGGGGCAUAUGUCUCACCACAGUCCAUACCUUUGACUUGAGUGUAGCCUUGGGCGACGAGACGUGCUUUGUUGCGAACUACUUGUCCAUCUUCAUCUUGCUUGCUGCGAAACACCCAUUUGGUACCAAUGAUGUUGUGGUUGUUGUCGGGCUUCUCGACCAAUGUCCACACUUGGUUUCUGUCAAAGUUGUGUAGCUCUUCAUGCAUGGCGUUUAUCCAAUCCGGAUCUUCCAAUGCUUCUUCAACCUUCAUAGGUUCAAUGCUAGAGAUGAAUGGAUAAUGUUCACAAAAAUUAGCCAAACGAGUUUUAGAGCGAGUGAUUCUCCCAGUUUGGAUAUCAUUGUAGAUUUGCUUGACGGGAUGGUCUUUGGCGACUCUUGCUCGAACUCGUGGGAGCUUUUGCUUUGGUUGGGGUGGAACAUCUUCUUCAUCUUGUCCUUCUUCUUGGCCUUCUUCAUUGUUGACGUUGUCGUUCUCUUGUCGUGGUGGAGAGGGAGUUUUAUGAGGUUCAUCUUGGUGUACUUCCUCAUUUUCUUCAUCUUGGUGUGUCCCACUCGUGGAUGCUUCCAUGUCGACUCUUGGUACACCUUGUCAUGAGGUGGAAGCUUCCACUUGGACGGACGAGGUACUCUCCUUCACCUCCGUUGGACGGAUCUUGCCAAUAGACAAGUCUUGGAUUGCUUCCGAAGGGUCUUUGUCUCCUACAUCAAUUGGCAAUUGCUCUACUUGCGAGCCGUUAGAUUCAUCAAACUUCACAUCUACCGUCUCUUCAACCUUUUGGGUGAAACUGUUGUAGACACGGUAAGUGUGAGAGUUUGAGCCAUAACCAAGUAGGAAACCUUCAUGAGAUUUAGGAGCAAAUUUAGAACGACGAUGCUUAUCAAGAAUGUAGCACUUUGAUAUGAAUACUCGAAAGUAUCCAACUUGGGGUUUGUUACCGGUGAGGAGCUCGUAUGCCGUCUUGCCGAGUAGCUUGUGAAGAUACAAGCGAUUUGUUGCAUGACAAGCUAUCUCAACCGCUUCCGCCCAAAAGUGUUUUGGAGUUUGUACUCAUCAAUCAUCGUUCUUGCCAUCUCAACAAGUGUCAUGUUAUUCCUCUCAACAACUCCAUUUUGUUCAGGCGUGCAUGUAGCCGAGAACUCGUGUGAAAUCCCUUCUUCCUCAAGAAAAGUAUCCACAUUUGCGUUCUUGAACUGCGUUCCGUUGUCGCUCCGAACCUUCUUGAUCUUCACUUCAAAUUGAUUUUGGGCCUUCCUAGUGAAGUUUUUGAAGAUCUUUUGGACCCGCGAUUUAUCAUCAAGAAAGAACACCCACGUAAAUCUUGAAAAAAUCAUCGGCUAUGACUAGACCAAAUGAGUUACCACCGAGACUCUUGUAGGCAUUGGGACCAAAGAGAUCCAUGUGAAGUAGCUUGAGCGGUCUUCUCGUGGUCAUGAUGUUCUUCACGGGGUGACUUCCUCCAACUUGUUUUCCUGCUUGACAAGCACUACAAAGUCUAUCCUUGUCAAAUAUAACAUCUUUUACUCCAAGGAUAUGAUCACCUUUAAUAAGCUUAUCGAGAUUUCGCAUGCCCACAUGACCUAACCUUCUAUGCCAGAACCAGCCUUUAGAAGAUUUAGCAAUUAAGCAAGUUCUAGGUUGAGCCUUUUUAGUGAAAUCAACAAUGUAAAGAUCACCUCUACGUAUACCAGUAAAGACCAUUGUAUGAUUGUCUCUUCGAAACACUUGGCAAUCUACUUCAGUAAAUAGGACAUUGAAACCGAAAUCAGCAAGUCUAGAUACUGAAAGUAAAUUGUACCCAAGAGAUUCAACGAGCAUGACAUUUUGUAUUGAGCUAUCAUGUGAGAUGGCCACCUUACCGAGGCCAACCACCUUACCCUUUGAGUUAUCACCAAAAGUGACAUACUUUCGAGGGCCAUCAUUUUCAGCAAGCUCACGAAAUAUAUCUUUGUCUCCGGUCAUAUGAUCAGUACAUCCACUAUCAAGGACCCAUUCCUUUCCUCCAGCCAUGUAGUCGCGAAGAUUAGCCAUAAGACCAAAGUGUCUCAUCGCAUCAUCAAGAUCAUAGUCACUAUCAUCAUCCUCAUCAUAGUAUCCAUGUUCAACAUCAUCUUGUAUUUGAUCAAUUCCUAGAUAGGGUAAUUCAUUAGAUAAAUGAUCAUCACAAUGGUCAUCUUUAUGAAUUCUAAUAGCUUCGGAGAUGAUAUUGCUAAUGAUUCCAACAUCUCCUUUGGCACGCAUGAGAUUGGUAAGCUCAAAUAGACAAUCACCAAACUUAGGAUCACUGGAAUUCAUCUUACUCAAGGCAAUAGACUUAUGGAGAAUUUCGUCUAAGUUUUGCAAGGAAUAGUUUGGAAAUCUUUCCUCAAGAAAUCUCCAUAUAGUGUAGGCACAAUCAAGAUUAGGCAAACAUCCAAUCAAGUUUCUAGGCAAGCCUCUAGUGAUAAGAUUAACAGUUCUAAGGUUGCGGAUCAUGUCAAUAGACUCAUCAAGGGUAGGAUGCAAAGGAUCAACAUGAGGUGCACAAGGGCUAGUAAUGUGCUUGUUCAAAUGAUAUUCAUUGAAAAUCUCAAGCGUCUAAGACUCCCCAACGUAGACUCAUCCAUCUUCCUCCAAUGGUGAUUAAACCAAAGCAAUGGAAACCUGGCUCUGAUACCAAUUGAAAGGAUCGAGAAGAGGUGUCUAGAGGGGGGUGAAUAGACCCUUAGCAAGAAAAGUGGCAUUUUUUAAUUUCUUUAAGUUGAAGUGGAUUUUUAGCACAUGUUUAAACAUUCACAAUGCAUAUCAAGCAAGCAUGAUAAGAGUAUAUGAGCAGCGGAAAGUAAAGCAUGCAAAUUGCAAGAAUGUAAAGGGAUGGGAUUGGAGUGUGCAAACGCAAUUGGAGACUCGGAGAUUUUUUAUCCGUGGUUCCGAUAGGUGGUGCUAUCGUACAUCCACAUUGAUGGAGACUUCAACCCACGAAGGGUAACGGUUGCGCGAGUCCACGGAGGGCUCCACCCAUGAAGGGUCCACGAAGAAGCAACCUUGUCUAUCCCACCAUGGCCGUCGCCCACGAAGGACUUGCCUCACUAGGGUAGAUCUUCACGAAGUAGGCGAUCUCCUUGCCCUUACAAACUCCUUGGUUCAACUCCACAAUCUUGACGGAGGCUCCCAAGUGACACCUAACCAAUCUAGGAGACACCACUCUCCAAAAGGUAAUAGAUGGUGUGUUGAUGAUGAACUCCUUGCUCUUGUGCUUCAAAUGAUAGUCUCCCCAACACUUAACUCUCUCUCAUAGGAUUGGAUUUGGUGGAAAGAUGAUUUGAGUGGAAAGCAACUUGGGGAAGGCUAGAGAUCAAGAUUUAUGUGGUUGGAAUGGAAUAUCUUGACCUCAACACAAGUGUAGGUGGUUCUCUCUCAGAAAAUGUAUGUUGGAAGUGUAGGCAUGUUCUGAUGGCUCUCUCCACGAAUGAAGAGUGGGUGGAGGGGUAUAUAUAACCUCCACACAAAAUCUAGCCGUUACACACAAAUCACCAAACUCGGUGGGACCGAAUCAGAAAACUCGGCCGGACCAACUUGGUUCAUAAUGUGACUGUAAGGAUUUUCGGUGGGACCGACAUGAUCAACUCGGUGGCACCAAUUUCAUUAGGGUUAGGGCAUAACGUAAUCUCAGUGAGACCGAUUACACAAACUCGGUGGGACCGAUUUUGGUAAUAAGCUAACCAGAGAGUUAGUCAGGAAAACACGGUGGGACCGAUUCGCUCACCUCGGUUGGACCAAAACGUUACGAAAGGGAGACAGAGAGUUUGCAUUGCGAACUCGAUGGGACCGAUCGCAUAUCUCGGUGAGACCGAGAUUAUUGCAAUAGGCAACAGAGAGUUUGCAACCCCAUCUCGGUGAUACCGAGAUCCCUAUCGGUGAGACCGAAUUGAUUAGGGUUUCUGGCAGUGGCUAUGUCAAGAGAACUCGGUGGCGCUGGAUAGAAAGUUUCGGUGGGGCCGAGUUUGACUUUUGGUUUGGGACAUAUGUGGAUGUGAGAAAAUGGUGGAGGGCUUUGGAGCAUAUCACUAAGAACUUUGAGCAAGCAAGCCAUUAAGCAACACCUCAUCCCCUCUUAAUAGUAUUGGCUUUCCUAUGGACUCAAUGUGAUCUUGGAUCACUAAAAAGAACAAUGUAGAGUCCUGAGCUUUGAGCUUGAGCCAAUCCUUUGUCCUUACCAUCUCGAAGGGGUUCCACAUCCUCUAGUCCAUGCCACUCCAUUGUUGAACUUAUCUGAAGCAUACUAAAUGAAAGCAUUAGUCCAACAAGAGAUAUGUUGACAUUAAUUACCAAAAUCACCCAGGGAGCACUUGUGCUUUCAACGCCCCCUUUCCUUCUUCUCUUCCCUCUCCCUUCCCCUUUCCCCCUCCAUAAGAAAGGAAGGGGGGCGAAUAGGACUUGGAGUCCUAUUCGGUUUCCCCCCAUGGCGCGCCCCUCUAGGCCGGCGGCCUCCUCCCCUCCUCCUUUAUAUACGGGGGCAGGGGUUACCCCAUAGCACAUCAAUUGUUAUUAGCCGUGUGCGGUGCCCCCUCCACAGUUUACUGCUCCGGUCAUAGCAUCGUAGUGCUUAGGCGAAGCCCUGCGCGGAUCACAUCACCAUCACCGUCACCACGCCGUCGUGCUGACAAAACUCUACCUCGACCCUCUGCUGGAUCAAGAGUUCGAGGGACGUCAUCGAGCUGAAUGUGUGCUGAACUCGGAGGUGCGGUACGUUCGGUACUUGAUUGGUUGGAUCGUGAAGACGUUUGACUACAUCAACUGUGUUAAACUAACACUUCUGCUUUCGGUCUACGAGAGUACGUGGACACACUCUCCCCUCUUGUUGCUAUGCAUCUCCUAGAUAGAUCUUGCGUGAUCGUAGGAAUUUUUUUGAAAUUGCAUGCUACGUUCCCCAACACAUUGUACCUUACACCAAGAGUUAAGAACACCACAAGAGUAGGGUAUUAACUUCACCGUAGAGCGCCCGAACCAGUAUAAAUCCUUGAGUGUACUCCUACCUGCAUCGUUCGGUAGAUACAAUUGCCUCUACAUUCCUCCCUCCCUUGUAUUUUAGGAUUAUAUCCAUGACAGUUGGCCCCAACCAUGGGGCCAGCGUCUAACGAAGAUAUGGUGUGGUUGGCUUCAUCUUCGGUUCUGGCUGGCAGCAUCCGCUUUGGGAAGCUCGAGUUCCCCAUCGAUGGAUCGACAUGGCACCCUAAUGCCCCGCCGAAUAGCGCUGACCUACUGACACGCGGGAGCAUUCACUACCGGGCCAAUGGCUCGGGGAUGUUGAGCUUGCAACUCCCGUCAUCACAUCAGUUGGCGCAACCUGAUAACCCACAAGUAUAGGGGAUCGCAACAGUUUUCGAGGGUAGAGUAUUCAACCCAAAUUUAUUGAUUCUACACAAGGGGAGCCAAAGAUUAUUUUUAAGUAUUAGCAGUUGAGUUGUCAAUUCAACCACACCUGGAGAUUAAAUAUGUACAACAAAGUGAUCAGUAGCACAGUAAUAUGAUAGUUUUGAUAGCAGUGGUAACAGUAGAAAUAGUAACGGUAACAGCAGUAACAAUUUUGUAGCAGUUGUAACAACAACAGUAGCAAUAGUAACUUAGCAAGAGCAAUAUGUGGAAAACUCGUAGGCAUUGAAUCGGUGAAUUCGUUGGAUGAUAUUCAUCAUAUAACAAUCAUAACCUAGGGCGACACAGAACCAGCUCCAGUUCAUAAAUAUAAUGUAGGCAUGUAUCCGUAAAUAGUCAUACAUGCUUAUGGAAAAGAGCUUGCAUGACAUUUUUUGUCCUACCCUCCCGUGGCAGCGGGGUCCAUAAGGAAACUAAGGGAUAUUAAGGCCUCCUUUUAAUAGAACCAGAACAAAGCAUUAACACAUAGUGAAUACAUGAACUCCUCAAACUACGGUCAUCACCAGAAAGUAUCCCAAUUACUGUCACCCUAGGGUUUACGGAUCAUAAAACGUAAUGAUGCAGAGCAUCCUACGGUCAUCACCAUGGGCAUUCCAUCACCACCAUGAACCCAUGCACGUACCAUUGAAACCGAGGUUACCUCUUUCCUCUUCGAGCUCCCUUUGGAUUCACAUAAGGAAUGGCUUCUACCUCAAUCGGAAACGUUAUGCAUUCUUAGGUACCAAGGAGAAGACUGUGAGGAAGCAUGGAGGGAUCACCAAGUCCACACGAAGUCUCAAGGAGAAGGAGGAGGAAGGGGAACCACAAGAUGCGGAAGACCGGGACCUCCUGGACACCCGGGUGCCCGAACAAGCGGCCGCGGGGUGGGCAAAGCCCCUGGACACCCCGGGUGCCCCCCCACCUGGGCCUGGGUGCAUCCCCGGGUGCCCGUCCCUCCUACCCCGGGUGCCUGGCCCUUCCCCAGGCGCCACCCCCGGGUGCACAGCCCCUACAGCCACUUGGCCGCGGCCUCCCUGACCGGACCGGGUGCCCGGUCCUCUGCACCCCGGGUGCCCGAACCCCUUUACCCCGGGUGCCCGGACCCGUCCGGUUUGUGCCUGCGUGCACUAAGGGAAAAAUACCCAUGUACCCCAGUUUUCCCCAAUUUCGUCCCUAGCUUAUAAGUAUUCCUCACCUAGCUUGUUGUACAGGUCAGAAAAGUAUUAGAUAGACAAAGAGAGAGCUUUUCUCAUCUUCCUCCUCUUGGAAAUCUAGGCCUCCUCUUGGAGAAGAUCCCCUAGUGGAUUCAAUGCCCCUCUAGGGAAGGAUCCCCAUCAUAGGAUCAUCAAGACCUCACCUCCCUUGUGGAUUUGGGAAGACUUUACCUAGUGCUAUUUUCCUUGAAUUGUUCUUGUAUGCUUGUGGAUCUCAUGUAUGCUACUCUAGUAGAUGUGUUAUUUGGGUUUGUAUGAGUGAUUUCCCUCUUGUGUUCUUGUGUGUUCACCACUUUCCCCCCUCCAAGUGUGAAAAUAUCCCCUCCAGGGUUUCACCCUACAACAUCUUGGUAUCAGAGAAAGGUUGAUUCACAUCUUGGAGUCCCUACCCCCCAUUUUCUAGCUUGAUUUGUUGUUUUUCGUCCUAAUUCAAAAAUCCACACAAAAAUAGCCCCAAAAAAUUUUCACCACAAAAGCAC